AGAUGUCUUAGGUGGAGUCUUGGCUUACACCCCAGUUGAGCGCCUGUGAAGAUGGAGCCGUAGGCCCGCUAGUCCGCUGCUGUUUAUUUUUUAUUGUCAGGCCUUAAGUGCCUUUGUAAUAAUGUAAAUAUUAUCGAUAUAAUAAAGAUGUGUCUUUUAUAUCAUGUUUGUAUGGUGUACCCCGGCUUUUCCUGGGACGGGGAUUAAUACACUAGCGUUCGGGAAAAUGCAAUUUUCUCGGUCGCGACAGACUCUCAGCUUGUCGAAGAUUUCGGCAGCAUCAAGUGUACUCGAACCGGCGUUAUUGAAGAACAUGGCCUGGAUGAGUGGAGUAGCGGCAUUAGCGACUUUAUCCCUGGCUCCUUCAAGCUUGUUGAUCUUGUCAACUAAGACAUCAAACUGUGCUUGAGACUUGAUCUUGCAGUCUGCAUCAACAGAUUCACAUUAAUGAAUCAGCAUAUAGAAGAUAAUGGCUUUUGAGGUAUUGAUUAUUGGUACCUUCAACCUCCUUUAAAGCCGAAUUCCUCUGUCUUGCCAGCUUUGCCUUGUCAUUUUCCAGAGUUUGGAUCUGCUCCUUUAGUUGAGAUAUCUUGGUAGCUUGCACUACAUUAACUUCGGUUAAUCAAGAUUACAGAGAUAACAGCACAAAUCAGUUGGGCAGAGUUUGCGCGUACCUUUUGAUGAGCCACUCAGUUCAAAAUUGGAUUCCUGGAGCUCAGCAAUCUGAUCCCUCAGAUCGUGUUCAUUCUUCUUGGCAAGUUCUCUGGCCUCGUGCAGCUGACUCCUGGUGGCUUCAAGGGUUCCAAGAUGAGGAACUAGUUUCUCUAGGGUUGCGGUUUUCGCCUCGUUCCUAAGAUGAAUCCUCUGCAAAGCAGUUUAAUCAGCGCUCGAGCCAGACGGCAAACAAGAUGGCUAAGGUCAGGCGUCAAGGAACUUACAUUUACAAUGCGAAUCGCUUGGUUGAGUGCCUUUUUCAGUAGGCAUACCUCUUCGUCUUCUUUUUGCCGGUUUAUUACAAUUCCUUGAGGUUGCAAGUUGUCAUCCCACCAAUUGACCAGAAUGGGAGGGCACGAAUCCUCGGCUGCUUGUAUACGGGGAAUUUCUUCUUCAUCACUGAUCAUUGGCCCUAAUGUAUCCACUGACAAAGGUUAGACAAUUGAUCAGAGUUAUUUGGGUCAACAUGGUGUCAGACAAAGUGGUUACCCGUAAUGAUUUCUGGACGAGGAUGAGUGGAUUCGGAUGCCUUUAAAGGAGAUCCAGAUCUCCGGUCAUUGCUGGCGUCUUGUCCGCAAGGGUUGUCUGCUUGGGUUUUGGCUUCUAGAAUCUCUUGGCUUGGCCCUGCGUCCGACUGGUUUCCAGUCAGAGGCUCCUGAUUAACUCCGGCUUCGGCUUCGGCCGACUGGUUUCUAGUCGGGGGUUGAUCACCGGAUUCUACAUUAUCGGUUGCCGGCUGAUUGUCGCUUGGAUGAUCCUCAACAGUUGGCCCGGUUUCUUUGGAAGAACUUGUGUCCAUGUUAGUCGGGUCAGAGUCUUUCCCAGACGGAUCUAUAUCAGUAUUAUUACCGCAAUGGGUGCGCAUCAAUGCGAGGAAGAUCGUUAUAUGAGUUGCACCUAGUAGACUUCCUGAUCUUUGGCACAGGACGACUGGAUGUUUUCUUCCUUAGAGUAGCCUGCUUGGCAGUUUCUUGGUUGCCUCUCGGUCUCCAAGCUUUCUAGCAGUGUCGCCUUCGUCGUCACUUAGAACCAGCUUCCUCUUGCGAGAAUUUGGCUGGCCGACUGGAUCAGGAGCACUAGGUUGAGUUUCAGACCGAAUUCUUGGUCCACCGCUCCCUUGCCCAGUUUGGUGGCGGGGAGAUCGGCGUUGAGCGAUUGGGGGAUCCGACUUCAUCAAAGCAAAUUCCUGGGUGUAAUAUCCUUCAUUGUUAACUGAUUCAACAAGAAAACAAGAUCAUAUUUUGAGAAAGGUUGAAGUGUAUGAAUACGUACCGGUGGAGGAGGAUUGAAGGCAUUGAAUGGCACGACUGGCAGCAGGUGCGAAUAGCCGACGACGAUGGCAUUUGAGAAGAUCUUGUACAUCCUUUCCUUCAUGACCUUAAAGUCAAGAGAGUCUGGAUUUUCACGAUUUGGAUCAUGUUUGCCGUCGAACUCAAAAGCUAUGCGGGAUCUCUCUUUGAUUGGGGCUAACCGACACUUGAUAAAGUGCCGGGUGAUCUGUUCUCCUUGCAAACCUUGUUCCUUCGGCUUUAUCAUGCGCUCCAUCAGUUCUACUGCUUGCGCAGCUUCAUCCCCCAUUGGCAGUGAGUUCCAAGUAUCCUGAUAAACAGGAGGAAGACAGGAGUACUCGGGGAGAGCAGGCUCAGGUUUUGAACAUAAAACCAAUUUGCAUGCCAGCCUUUGUUUGAGGUUUUGAAGGGCAUAGAGAAGUAUUUUUGGCUUAGGGUUCCCCUAAGUUGGAAAUCAGCACCCCCAACGACGCAUGGUUUGUUCUUGUUUGGCUGGGGCUUGAGGAAGAAGAUGCGGCGGAACAAGGCGAAAUGAGGCCUAAUGCCCAAAAAAGCUUCGCAGGCAUGAAUAAAAUUGGCGAUAUGCACUAUGGAGUUUGGAUUCAGAUGAUGCAAGCUAAUCCCGUAGAAUUUUAGAAUUCCCCGGAAGAAUCUUGAGGUUGGAAGAGAAAAUCCGCCAUAGAAGAAAUGAGCAAAUACCACGAUUUCGUGUGUAUCGGGGGUCGGGAAUGCCUCGCCGAAUGCCGGUCGCCACCCGAUGAUCUCUUUCACCAGAAGAACGCCGUGCGCCACCAUCUCCUUCAGAUUGUCUUCCGUCACAUCGAAGGGCACCCACUGACUCUCGAAGCUUUCUCUUUCUUUCGUCAUGAAUGUGAACUGGAUGGUUUGAUUUGGUUCGAGUUACGGCUGGAAAGGGAUGGGGAAUCGGAGCGGUGGAUGCGGGGAGAAAUUUCGUGAAGUUUUUGAGGAUGGAUUGGAGCGGAUUGAUGAACCCUAGUUUGGCCGGCGCAGUUUUGCACUGUAGCAGGAAAUGGGAAAAAUGGCGAGACUCUCGGCGGGGAAGACGAAGAGACGUUUUAUUUCACUUUGGUGCAAUUAGGGUAUCGGGAGUGCUAACAGGCCUGGGCCUGCAUAGUACUUCAGCCCAAUCUUAUUUCCAGCAUGGCCCGUUGUGAUCCUUAGGGACUUAGGCACUUUUUGCUUUGGCAAUUUGUGUUCAUAAUGGUGUGGCCCAAUGCUGUUAAAAUCCUUUUUAACGCGAUUCAAUAAUUCAUUGGAAUUAUUAUGAUGCACAUAAAAAGGUGCCCGACAGAAAGGUGUUAUACCGUUUUUGUAAGCUUUAUUAGGCUGCAAAAGCUGUUUGGGUUGAUUUGAGAUGACUGGUUUAUUAAUAGUCAUUCUUUUAGCAUGUUAUAUGCUUAUUUUGGUUAUGGUAAGGGUCACAACCUAGGCUAUUAGACUCAUUAAUUACCAUGAUUUUCUAUCAUGUUUGGUGGAUCAUUUUAUGAGAUUUUUACUCGGAUUCCUAUCAAACAUGUCUAUUUUUGUACCUUUGAGUGUUUAUCACUCGACCCUUCUUGUAUCUUUUGUCCUUGAUAUAUUCAAGUUGAGAAGCAGUCGGCUGGGUAUCUUACUCAGUGCCAUGCGGGCUUCGCUAUAAAACCACUCGGUUCUUGACUAUAUGUUUAGUUUUUCAACUAAUCACAUAGUCGGGGGCUACACCUAAUUAGGUGCAUCUACUCGAUGCACCAUGUUUUAUUUUCGCCCUUCGCAGUCUUUGAUUUUAGCACUCGGCAAGCUGGAGCAAGUUGAAUUGAAGCACUCGGAUUACUGUUUUUUGUUUCGAGAAGGCUAUUACUGUCAACUGCGAAGGUCUCGGGGGCUACUGUGGAGAUUAUGGAUACCCCAUAUCUACAUGACAGUUAUAAUUUAGUCGGAUAUAUGGUACCAAAUAUAGAUAGAAUAUCUCUAUGAGGACUCGGGUUAGAUUCUAAACUUGUAUGUCAAGAAAAUACCCGAGAUCCUAGUCGGUUACGAUUGUAUUUUAUCUAUGAUCCCAUAUUCCGUUAGGAUAUAGACGGUACUUUGUAAAGCGGACUCCUUCCCCUAUAUAAGGAGGGUCCAUGUGCCUCUCGGGGCCCGAUUCUUUUUUCCAGUUUAUACAAUCAAUAACACACUCGGCGGAAUUAUCCCCGGACAGGAGUAGGGUAUUACUUCUUGAAUAAGAAGGACUGAACCUGUAUAAAAUCUCUUGUCUCCAAACACAUCCACUUUCCUAGCUUGAUAGCCACCCCCUUUUAUUAUUGUCGAAAUCUUGCUUUGACACUGGCUCCGAUCCGACGCCCUCGACAACCUCGAGGAGCUUGAGCUGUUCCGCGAGUGCUUGUAUACAGAGCGAGAUAUGCAGCCGCGGCCUCCGCCGGCGUCCAUCUUCCGCUUCUCUUCCAGCCUCCGCGUUGCCACCAUCGGCAAAUGCCACCUCCAGGACGCCAUUGUCCAAAUGCUUCACUUCCCCAAGCUCGAGCAUCUCGGACUUGAGGAUGUCGUCAUCUCCGAGGGCUCACUUCACAGCAUAAUUGCUGCCUGCCCUGUCCUGGAAUGCCUGCUGCUUGUUCGUGCCAUUGGUUUCCGUGGUCUUCGGAUCAACUCCGCUAGCCUUACAAGCAUUGGUGUGGACAUAUUGUAUUUUCCGGCAGAACAGAUCGAAUUGGGGGAACUCAUCAUCGAGCACGCCCCUCUUCUUGAAAAGUUGCUCAAUUUUGGAGUGCGCAAUGAACUGGAUGUAUCGAUAAUUUCAGCGCCUAAACUGGUGACUGUAGGCUGCCUUUGUCAACAAUUUUGUCAUCGCCACUCCAGGUUCACGUUUGGCACCACAGUUAUUAAGGUAACCUUGUUCUUCUUGCCUUUGCAAAGCUUGCAUGUUGGUGUGGAGAAAUUUUAUGUUGUCUGUACUUAUUUAUGGCCUAAUGUCACGCUACACUUACAUGUUUGUUAAAGGGAGUUAAGAACGAAAGUUUGCCAGAGGUGGUGCACAAUGUGAAGACUUUAGCUGUCAGUGUGCUUUUGCUUGAUGUGGAUAAGGUUGUUGACAUAUUGAGAUGCUUUCCUUGCUUGGAGAACUUGUACUUCAAGGUAUUCUUUACUGAAGGUUUAUUGUAUAACUUGGAGUAGUAUUUAUUACCGCUCUUCUAAAAUAGUUAAUUUUUGUUCUUCAUGUCCUUUUUCAGUCAUGUGAAUUGACCUCAAAAGUUGUGUGGCGUAAAAAAUACCGGAAUCUUACCAAGAGCCUUGACAUUCGUCUCAAGACAGUAGUGUUGGAAGAUUAUCGGGGCAUCUGGGCAGAAGUUCAUUUUGCCCAAUUUUUUGUACUGAAUGCAAGGACGCUGGAAGCUAUGAAAUUUUUCGUAACAUGCAAGAUUACUAUAAGGGGUUUGCUGCAGAACAGCGAAAGGUGCUUCAGCUGGACAAAAGGGCUUCGAGUGGUGCUCGUUUCAUAUUUACCACAAAGGGAUGUUUCCACGAUGCUGCAUGUAUUGAGCAUGUCCAAGAUUUGUCAUUUACUGAUCCCUUUGAAUGUAGAUGUUGAAAUCGGUUUGGUCCUCGGGGGACUUAUCCUUGAUUAUCCCCAUCUUGUGUUUCUUCCAACAUGAAUCAUGUAUUGGUUCUCAGAAGUACAUCAAUUUGACAUUAUGUUGUCUCUGCUUGGGACUAGGUGCAAAAGAUGGUAUUAGAAUUUGGUGUUUCAAAAUUGGGGAAAUUGUCUUUGGAAGUUCUGACAUUUUUAGUGCCUGUCAAUUGUUACUAAGCAAACCUGGUUGAUGGACAGAACAGCAUUGAGAAUUUCAAGCUAACCCGGUACCUAAUAUCAGGUGAGUUAUUAUAUAAAAUAUGGCUGCUUAUAUUUUAGUGCAUGCUUGGCUUAGCUGUGGAUUAUAAUCUGAUGCUGAUACUAAAUUUUAGAAUAUAUUCUACGGUUUUGUUUAUUUUCCCUUCUGUUGCAUGGCACUCUUUGUGAUUGUUAUAGAACUAUACCUGAAUUCAUUGUUUGUAAGUAAAGCAUGUAAGUAACUACUAGUAUAUGCAAUUCGCCAAUUCCCAUGUCAUAGUUUGUAGAAACUAGAAACGGCCACCUGUUUAUCUGCGCUGGAGGCUCUAUUUGCUUCGCAUGCGUUGGCCGUACCGUAGACAUUUGGAAUGAAAUCUUGGGUAUGAUUGUUCAAUCAGUCGUCCUGAAGCUGAUAAUGAUGUUUAUUUUUUAUUUUUCACUCCAAUACUUCUGAUGUUAUUAUUUUCACCUCAGUACUUCUGAUUUGUACUCUGUCAACAUUUCUAUGUGUCGGCCUAGGGGGAAAAUCAUCCGAAAUGUGGCUCGCAAUAGUUUUACUAAAUCCCCCCCCCCCAGUCAAAAUAUUCCACGAUCUUUUACUGGAAUUUACAUGACACGUGAACUAAUUUUAAUCAAACGUAACCCUGUUAAGAGUUUUUCAUAAAUAAAACUAUUUGCCUCCUACAUCCGGUACACCUCCUAUUCGUCAUGUUCAUGGCGUCUAAGCUUUCAUGGCCUCACGGCCACUUGGCUAUUUUAUUUUCAAAAAUGCAAAAAUUUGUGAGAUAUGUAUGUACUCCCUCCGUCCCAAAAAAAAGUAGAUUAAUCUAGGAGGGGAUAUGAUAUUUUCUAGUAAAAUGAAUCUAGACAAAAGAUGUACUAGGAGAUGUCACAUCCUUACCUAGGUUGAGUUUUUUUUUACGGAGAGAAUAUAUUAGAAGCACAAAACAAUUUCUUAUACAAGAUAGGCGAUGUACCGUGCCAUCCGCAAAGCAAAGGGGCCAUUUUGGCAUGAGAUACCAGAUUUUUUUCGAUGUUUGGUGUCACUGGCGGUCUACUUCCUCCGUCCUAAAAAAAGGCAACCUAGAAGAGGAUGUGACCCCUCCUAGUAUAACGAAUUUGUACAUAUCUACAGAAAAAAUUAUGGAGGGUGCAUUACAAAUUACUUCUUUUUAAAUAGUAAUAAAAUGUUAAAGUUUAAAAAAUAAAAGAAGUUAGUCGGAGGGAGAGGGGGAGAGGGAACGGUGCAGCCGGUGGGGAGAGGAGAGGAGGAGGGGGAGAGGCGGCACCGGAUGGGGGGAGGCGGCCGGUGGUGUGGGGGGAUGAAUCUAGGGUUAGGGUUUUUUUUUUGGUACUAGGGUUUUGAUUGAUUCGGAACCGAUCUGAGCCGUCCAUCAAAACGAACGACUCAGAUCGAUUAAGUGUCAGGUCGACCUCCAUUGCCGUACAGCAACACUGCUGGCUGCGUGCAAAACGUGGUUAGAUUUUCGGUUACAGCUCACAUGGCAAGUGAAAGGAGGAGUAGUGGGAGGUUAAUUAGACUUUGGUUGCUUCCUGGGCCGGACGCUUGGUUGCGACCUGAGGAAAUCGGGCCGACUCGGUUGCGUGUUGAAGAAGAAAAUAGGCUGAAAAUGGCCCAUAGAGAAAGGAGGAUUUUUAUUUAAAUAAAUGCUGAAAUGAUGUUUGUACUAAGAUUUAAAAAUUCCAAGAAAAUUUCAGAGUGAAGCUAAUAUGGACAGUUUAAUAAAAAUUAAAUCCAACCAUAUUAUUUUAUUUGUUACACUUACUUUAGUUGUAAAUUAAUUUAACUAUAUACCUAACUACUUAAGAAAUACCCAAAUAAUUCCAAAAAUUUGUAUUUGAAUUAAAUAGAUAAUGUAAAUAUUUCUCAUCCCUUUGUCAAUUUUCUCGUCUUUUCAUCUCAUUGCGACACACGGACACUUUUUCUAAUAUAAUACUCCAGUAUAAGUCUAAAUAAUUGUGUUUGAUCUUUUUUUCUAAAUCGGAGGCAACCUAGGAACGCUCACAUAUCUCUAUUACCGAUUUCUGGAUCCAAACCCUGGAUUUUCAUUGGGUCACGUGACUCUACCAGAAUCAGCCAGAAUCAGCGUUACCUCUUCUAAAUUCGUGCCACGUGGCCUCCUCUCCCUUCGGCGGCUUUGCCCGCAUCCUCGUAAAAACAAGCGAGCGUAAAAUCCUUUGCCUCUCCUUUAGGCCUUGUUUGGUUGGGCCGUUCCCGGCCAGGAUUGGGGUCCAAUCCCCGUCGAUCACCCCGGCGAGGAAACAAUCCAGGCCCAUCCGAAAUUGUGUGUUCGGUUAAGCCCAGUCUGGGUUUUACCCCGGCCUAUCCCGGCCUUUCCCCCUCACCCAGGCCCGGGAAAAAAAUCAACUUCUCGUGUGGCGUGGAAAAAUUCCUCACGACGGGAGCCGGGAGGCGACGCGCAACACGCGUAGCGGCAGCACGACGUAGAGGCGAUUCGAGGUGGUGCAACGGCGGGGGCGGCGCGACGCGGAGGCGAUGGUGACGGCACGGCGCUCUCCUCCGGCCGCCAUCUUCUCUCCAGUGAGCACGCAGCCUUUUCCCCUCUCCCCUCCUCUUUCAAAGCUAGGGUUAGGGUUUUCUUCUUUUCUCCCUUUCCCGUCGUCGCCGCGAUUCGUCGUCGUCCUCCUCGUAUUCUGCUCGAUCUGGUGAGUCUUGAUCUGGGUGAGAAUUAGUGAGUUCUUGAUCAGAUGGGGAAUGAGCUUUUUUUCUUGGUUGGGUGAGGAUGAGUUCUUGAUUCACCACCACCGCCGCCGCACGUCCUAAACCAUAUCAUUAGUUCUUGAUUUGGGCGUGGUGAGUUCUUGAUUGCUGCAUUUCCCGGAGAGUAAGAUCGGAGCUGCGAAGGCUGUACAUGGCAAUGCAGAAUGUAAUAACUCUCUGGAGGUUAGAAGAGGGUAACUUGGGCUUUAAACUGUAUGAUUUCUCUGACAUAAAAGAUGCAACUAAUAAUUUCUCAAGUGAAAGUUUGCUUGAAAAAGGUGGUUUUGGAUCUGUCUACAAAGUAAGUUCAGAUUUCAGAGUCACACUCUAUUACCAGUAGCUAGCAAGCAAGUGUUUAGUGUUUUCAAGGCUGAAUUGUACUUCCACACGUUCUAAUUUCUAGAGAGAGAAACUAGAAGAAGGUUGAGGUGGUCAUCCUUUUCUACAUUUACGAUAUAUCAGUUAUACACUUGAGUCUGAAACUUUGUGCAUUAUAAUGUUCACUGGUUUUAUUUUAUGUAUGUACAGCAAGAAAUGGAUUGUUGCAUUAGUUCAGUUCAACAUGUUUUCAUAAGAUUAUACUUCUUGUCAUGUGCAACAUGUUUAAGAACGCUGAAAGUUGACAAGAUAUUAAUUUUUGUGAUGUGAAUAUAAUAAUUCCUCUGUCAAUUUGUUUCUGUCUAAAGUGUUAUUAUGAAUAUUAAUCAUGCGUGAUGAAGAUGAUCAUUUACAACUAGCUUAUAUGCUAUUUUUAGAAGAAAAAAAAAUCAUUUUUUGUUUGUGUGGCAUGGCAAAAGGCAAUGCUUGCAUAAGUUCCUCGAAGUACUGUAGAUUAAAGUUAAUGGUAUUUGUGUAUACCAAUGUCACCAUAUGGAUGCAUGGGGGAAUAGGAGCAUGUUGCUUAAUUUUUGGAUCAUUAUUCUGAACAUGGUUAAACUUCAGAAAAUUGCAAUUAGUUUGUAUGGUCUUCCAUACAACUAUAUUAGAUAAUGCUUAAUUUUUAGUUGUUAUAAUCUACCUCUCUUUGGGGUUACCCACAAGUAGUUGUCAAUUGCUGGAAUUUUAAAUUACCAUAUACAUAUCCUCAAUCAGCUCUAUUAUGGUCUUAAAUAAUUUUUCGUAAUUCUCCUGUGAUGAUAGUUGGAGAAGAUGCUGAUGAUGGUGUAAAUUAUGGAACUGGAAGGCUGUAAGGAUCUUUUUGUUGCAGGGGCACUGAAGGAUCAAUUAUGCAUCUGCACUGCACUUCUUUCACUAUGUCUAAAAUAUUUAUUAAGCAUAGACUGUAGAAGCUAGGACUGAUCGAUAUUCUAACAUAUUCUAACUUAUAUUAGAUAAUGCUAUGUUUCGACUGAAAAGCAAAAGUGACAUUUGAUGUUCAUUGGAGAUUACAGUAAGAGUAAAUUGCACCCAUGGUACAAUAACUCGGCAGGUGGGUGCGAUAUAAUGCAAGAUCUUGCGAAUUGAACAUUUGAGUACAAUAACUUGACAAGUGGGUGCAUUCUAGUACAAGAACUACAAUUUAUAGUAUUUUGGUGCGUCAACUUGGCUAAGCAUAUGCUAGGUGAGUUUUUUCACGAUGUCAAUAUGCCAUUACACAAUAUUCCUACGGAUAUUACCUUAUAAUAUUGAAUUUAAUCUUCAAGAAUUAUACUGCAUAUACAAUUUAAUCUUCAAGUUUUUUUUUUUUUGCUUUCUUCACCAUCUCAAAUAUCAACCGAAAUAUAAUAAUUCUACAUCCAAUUUUAUUAACUUUCAGUUAUCGGUUAUUAGAAUAAAUAUAUAAAUAUGAUUAUACAAAUCCAUGCUAGAAUAUGGUCAAAAUAAAAACUCAAAAAAUUAAAAUGCUCCAAAUAAUUAAGUUGUCAUGUAACUUCUUAAUUUAUUGUAUCAAAAUCGUACCUACUUGCAAGUUGUUGUAUCUAUACGAUCACUUAUAAAGUUCUUAUACUAAAUUACACCUUUCUACCAAGUUGUUGCACUAGAACGCUCAUUUCUCAAGUUAUUACACCAAAUUACACCACCUAUCAAGUUGUUGCAUGUAAUUACUCUACGGAGUAUAUUUUGUUUGUACGAUAAGAUAUUAUCAAAUUCCGUUGCUAUGUUUGAUAAGAUAUUAUGGAGCGACAGGCCUGUCGCUCCAUAAUCCCCAUACCUAAACAGAGAAAAGUUCGCACUUCUCCCCCUCUCGCACGCGCCUCGCCGCCGCCGCAUCGCAUCCCCUCGUCGUCGCAGCCGCUACCUCCUCCGCUUAGUCGCCUCCCCCCCACCCCGGCACCCCCACCUCUCCUCUCCGCCUCGCUGUUGCCUCUUCCAUGAUGUCCCUAGUGAGAGCACGGCGAGGGCAUCUCCUCAGACCUCACACAUGCCGGCGAGCCGCCAUCUGCUCCUCGUCGUUGCUGGAUGGGGAGGAAGAACUCGGUGACCUCCUCGGCGCCCACGCCGUCGCCGAACGCCGAUGAGGUCCAGCAGGAGAUGGCCGUGGGCCGCUCGGCGUCGGCCAGGAUCCGCGACCGGGCGUCUCGUUCGCUGCUGGGGCAGGAGCCAUACAUGACAAUGUAACUUAUUCUUCUCAUGAUUUUGCUGGGUGAAUAGCAAAUGAUUUUGCUUUUUUGCUCCAGUAAAUGGGAAAAUUGCUCUGGUUACUGAGCAAUUAGGGAGUUGAUCUGGUUGAUUUUGUUUUGGUGGAACAUAGAAGAAGCUGUCGGUGGAAGAGAAGUGCUUUUCACUGCAUAGUAGCUGAUUUAUGCUAGAUUUAUGAGCGCGCAGCUGUUCUUGAGUUUUGGCCCUCUUGUUCAGCUAUUCAUUCAGAAGCUGUCACCGAAGAAAGUUGUUGAGCUUAGACUCACUGAUUUAUAAGCACAUUGCUCUGGGAAAAUUUAUAAGCACAUAGCGCCUCCUCUGCUCCUCACAUUGCUCUGGUAAAAUUUAUAAACAUAAAAUUUAUAAGCUUCCUGUUUAGCAAGCAGACUCAUCGGUGUGUCACAUUCAGAAGAUACCAGCACAUUCCAACUGGAACCUAGAUCUGUUGGCCUAUUGCAUCAUGUACAGGCAAGUCUGAAAACUAAAUAAGGGUAAAACCGUCUUUUCUCCUCUAGUUAACACCAUCAAGUGUAAAAACUAAUGGAAGUGCUACAUAGGGAAGGGAAAUUUUGAGGGUGCAUAGAUAGAGAACUUUUGAAGUUUGGGUGGUAGAGAUAGAAGAACAACUUUUUUUUUAUACUACAUAGGGAAUUUUCUCUACAAUAUAUCAGUUUGCGAGGGGUACGGCGACGGAGAUAGUGGCAGGCCUGCUCAUUGGAGGACAGCACCUCACCGUCGUCAGAGCUCAUCGUUGCUGCCCAGCUCCUCCUACUCUCUAGGUCAGCCCAAACGGAUGAUUAUCGGCUCUGGGUUCUCUAUUCGGAGGCAAAUGCUGGCCAACAUUCAAAGAUUCAUCUGCUCGGUAGGCAUUUAUUUUCCAUGUAAAUAAAUCUUCAAACUCUCUUCAUCGUUGAUUGUUAAUUGCUUUACUGCUUUGAAUGACACAACCAGAUUUGGAGUACGAAACCACCUCGCCAUCACAGGCAUACUGCCUGCCAUGUGGACUUCGAUUAUAAAUCUACCUCGCCAUCGCGCCCAUACUGUUCGGUGUGGUGUCGAUGCUCCUGUUGAGAAGUAGCGCAAUUGGUUGGUUGCUUACUUAGGCUUAAUAUUGGGUUAAUGUAGAUAUGACCCUAUGGCCUUUUAUUGUCUUUAUUUUAAAAUAUAUAUAUAUAUUCUGAAAUACAGGAAGUAUAUUUUGUCCCAAACUAAAUACAUCACAGUAACAGCAUGGUUGCCUUUUUUCUUAGAUUAUUUUUUCUUCAACUCAACAUUAGGGAACUACCUGUUGGUAUUAAAAUUUUACACUAAUAAUUAAAUAAGUCAACUUAUAAAGCGAUUCAUAUAAGGAUGUAAUCUAACUCAAUUUAUUUAAAGAUUGUUUUGUGUUGCUCAAACCUACAAUUAUGAUGCAUUAAUAAUUUUGUACAAGAUCAUCGGCUUCAUGAUAUACACUUAUGUAAGACUUGUACAUAUCAAUGUAGUUUUUAAGACAUUUAUGAACUGUGUUUUGAAACAAUCAUGUUUUCAAAUUAUCACCUUGCAAUAAAUAACUAUUGCUACCUAGCAAGGUGAGAAUGUAUAGCCACCUCCUCAAGGAUGGUUAAAAAAAAGAUCCUUUUUACGGUUCUUGUAGAGCUACACAUCUGGUUUAAAUUUGUGGUAUCUGCUAUCAUCCAGGAGGUAUGAUACUAUGUACAUCUUCGAGGCCUGUAAAAAGGCUUUUUGUUUGUAAAUAAUCACCUUUUCUCUAUAGAAAUGUGAUACAUGCCUUAAUUUGUGUUUACUUGUACUGAUGAUAUCUGGUCUUUGUCUACCAGGAUUUUAUAGUAAUAAUGGUUAAUUAUUUGAUGAUUUCAUGUAAUGAUGGACUUAGUCAAUUGCGAGCUAUAAUAAGAUGCCAAAAAAUCCCUAUUUUUGAAAAUUCAUGAGGAAAGCACUUUCUAAUUUCUGACUCUUAACACGGUAUUUGUGAAAUUUCAGCUUUGAUCUGUUUGAGACCAAUUAAACUCUACUAGCAAAUUUCAUGCCUGAUGUCGACAUCAAGCUUCCAUCUGCUUUUGGUAUGCCAACAUUUCCUUGGAUAUUUAUUAUCAUAACAUCAUCUCUUCAAGCUCUUAACAAUUUGAUCAAUAGGUUAUAACUUCUAUAUAGAAUUUACAUUUAUCUUUUAUUUUUGAAUUAUAUUAUAUUACUCUAAGUUGUAUAUGCCAACUAAUAUAAUAUUGAUAUCCAAUUGCAGGUUAUAUUAUUAAUUAGAACUAUCCGAUUUACCUCAUUUCUUUAUUUUGAUUUAGGAGUAACUGGUGGUCUUUUCUGAGCACGACUGAACCCACCAUUUGAUAAUUUUGAAAUCUUCCCUAUACAUCCGUUUGUGGAAGCAAAUGCUGAGGACUCCAGUGUUGGUGCUGGAUCAAAGGAAUAUGUGCACACGCUCAUUCAGUGUGGCACAACGGAAGAAAAAGACUGAUUAUUGUUCAAGGCUUGAAGAGAGAAUACAGCCAGAACAAAAUAUUCUAGGAUCUAGAAAAGGAAUUUGGCUGUAAUGUUACUGUGGUCCAUGAUUCAGAGCUAGGAGGUACAAAAUAGCACGUAUAUUGUGUUGUAUCCAAGUUGUUUGGUGUGAAUGUGUAUAAUAAUGAAUGGUCUGCUAUAUAUGUUUGUAGGUCAUUCAGAUUCAAGGUGAUCAACGUAAAAAUGUUUUGAUAUUUCAGUACUUUGAAAUACAUUUCCUUGCAGUACAAUUUGACAAGUGUAAUUCUCUGCCUUUCUGCAUCCAUGUUGAGUCCUAUAUAAACGGCAACUUUAUGAGUUGACUUUGAAAUUUAUAGAACUGACUCAUUUGAAUGGUAUAAUUCCAUAGGUAACCUGCUUAAUGAUGAGAAACAUAGAUAUCAACAGUUGAUUUCAAUGGUGUCACGUCCUGAUAAAUUCAUCCCGAAAUAAAAAUCAUUCUCUAAAUGGAAUAAUAGAAUUAAUUAAAAUUCGAAAAGAAAUUAGCAAACAUUAAAAUGCGUACAAGAAAAUUUCGAAUGUGGCCCGGAGAAUUUUCGUUAAAUUCUCCUUGGUCUAAAAUGAGCCCUCAAAUUUUACUUAAAUUUUCCGAGCACCGAAAAUAUUUAUUAAGCAACAACAACUAUUAUCAAAGUUUAUUAAAAAGAAAAACCUAAAAAUAAUCCUCCUUCCUCCUUUGGGCCAAAUCUGGCCCAAAAUCCACUCUCUCUCUCUCGGCCCACGCCCAAAGUCCUUCCCUCCUCCCUCUCUUUUUCCUUCUCUCUCUCUUGGGCCGCCCUCCCUCCUUCCCCUCGGCCCAGCUCCCUCCUCCUCCCUCUCCCUCCCGGGCUGCCUCUCCCUCCUCUCCUCCUGGGCCGGCUCCGGGCCCAAGCCGAGCGGCGCCCUCCCGCCCGUGCCGCGCACGUGCGUGCGCUGACCGCGCGCCUGGCCACGUGGGUCCCACGCGCCGGGUCGUCGUCCUCCUCCCGCCCGGCCUCCUCUCUCUCUCCCGAAAACCUAGCGCCAUUCCUCCCCAAAAUCCACGCGAUUCAAACCGGGAAUUCCAAAAUUGAUUAGGGGGAAUUAAUCCCCUUUCCUUCCUCUUCAAUUCCACCCCAAUUUCCCCCUUGAUUCGUGCCCCCAAUCAUCGAGAAUGCCCGCGCCAACCCCGGCCACCUUCCAUGGCCGCUGGCCGCCUUUUCCACCGUCGUUUCGCCCUCUCCCGUGGCCGGCUCCCUCCCCGCGCCUAUAAAAUGAAAUCCCCUCGCUCCGUUCUAUCGUUUUAGCCCCCUCCCGCGCUCCCCCGUCGCCUCACCACCCCUCCCCGCCUCCUCCCUCUCUCUCUCCGAGCGCCGACCACCUCCAGCCGCCUCUGCUGUCGAGCCCGUGCGCCGGCCGGCCGCGCCAUCUCCUCCCUCAGCGUCGCACCUGCUUCCCCUCCACCGGCGUCGCCUCCGUUUCGCGCGGAGACCACCGGAGGCGUGUUCCCGCUGGCGUCCAAUGGCAUCGCCACCACUGCACCACCUCCCGUCGGCCGUUCGCCGCGCCUAAAGCGUUGGCCGACGCUGCUAUCCCCUCCCUCGGCACGGUGACAUCGCCAUCAACCCCGACCGCUGCCCGUCUUCGUCCGGAGACCGCCGCCGCCACGCCGGCCUCUCCUUCCUCCUCGUCAACAUCGGCUUCGGCAGCCACUUCCGCCGUGCCCAUGCGCCGGCCGAUGUCACCAUCUCCACCUCUGGCAUUAUAGCGGCAAGGUCGCCCUCAGCCUCGCCUCCCCUUCGACCGAACCCCACCGGUGUUCGUCGUCGUCGUCUCCGUCCGACAUCGCCAUCCCCUCCUCCGGUUGGCCGUUCCUCCUCGCCGGCUCAUCGUCUCGCGGCACCACCUCCGUCGUCGGAUUCGCAGCGGCGUGUUCCGCGCCGUCCUCGCCUCCGUGCAGCUGCUGCCGGCUGCCUCGUCGCCUCCUCGCCGGCCCCGGUCGUCGUUGCGUCGUCCUCUCGUCGUUCCCGGUCGUAGUGGUGUUCGUCCCUCCGUCAAGCCGUUCGCGUUCGUCGUCCGCGUUACGUCAAGUGAGCCGCUGCAGCCCCGUCGUCGUCUUCGUCAUCGCCUCCGCGUUGCCAAGCGUUGCGCCGGCCGCGUCCCGCCUUCGUGCAAGGAUCGCCGCCGAAGUCGUUCCCUCGCCGUUCGCCUCCGUCGUCCCCGAGCCGUCUCCGCCGCGCUCAUUCGUCAUUGUCGUUCCCACGCCUCGUCGCGUGGUGGUAAGGAUCCGUCCUCUCGCUGCCUCGUCCUAGUCCUUUCGGUGUCGCCCGUGCCCGUUGUGCGGUUGUUGACCCCGGUACCCGUGUACUGGUGUCGGUAGUCGUUCGCUUGUGCGUGUGGUGACCGUGUUAGUGUGCCCGCUCGGUAGCCGCGUGGUUUCCACGUGUGCAGGCCGUGUGGUGUCUAGUGGAGUCCGUUUGUCGGCCACUCGCCUCGGUUGACACACGGGAUCCGCUUCCGUCGACCCGUGGACCGUCUCUGUGUACUCGGUCUACUGUGGUCCCUUAGGUUGACAUGUGGGGUCCACAUGUCAACGACGCAGCCUUCUUGUCUUUUCCAGGCUAGCGCUUAUACAUGUUUUAUAAUUGCAAAACCUAAUCACAAUAAUCCGUAAAUCUCCAUGUAACAGCAUUAAACUUCGGAUGAUCAUAUCUUGGUCAUACGAACCCCAAAUCAACCCGUUCAAGUCUCCUAAUGUUUGUUACAACCUAAAGAACCGUGUGCUUUCUUUUUAUGUAUUGUUAUUGCUUCUUUAUAGGCUUGUAGCUUUGCUUGUGUGCUUCACGUAGCUUCUGUCGUUCCGAAGGUUCUCGAAGCGUGGUUUGCAGUCGUCGCCGAAGGUUCAGAAGGCCGUUCUCUCUGAGCAAGGCAAGUCGCAUCAUCCUUGAGCACAUUGAAUCCCAGUUUAUGAAAUUAUUUUGAUUUAAAUUAAUGCAUUAUCGCUUUAUUUAAAUUCUCGCGUUAUCAUUGUUUUAUUUAGCCAUGCCUAUUUAUCUUUGGUACGACCUUAUUAUUACUACUAUCAUUAUUAUUACCUUGUUCACCCUAGGAAAAUAAAACCCCAACUAGUGGGUACUCUAUUUAUGGUUCCACUAGUAUGAAUUUAGGUAGAUGCUUCGCUGUUUAAUUAGGCAACACUAGGUGGUUUUAUAACUUUAGACUUUGGGAAUUCUCAUAUCACUUGGAUACUAUGGAAUGGUUGGCUUAUGGUGGAAUUGGACAUACCCCUCUUUUCCUCUUUCAAAACCCCUAAAACCUGUUUUCCGGUGGGGUUUGGGUGCAUUCCAGUUGUGGGAAGUAGCACCCCGGCCAAUAUAAGGAUUAAGCUCGGGCCUCUAUUGCAAAGCACUACCGUACUAACCACAUGUCUAAUGGGUAAGGCUUAACUCGGUACUCAGUCUACUCCUGAACAAAAGGACACGUAUAGAGAUGGAUGAAGUCGUUGCGACGAUGGAUAUCUCUGAGGCAAAUGAAGGCUACACGAGCUGUGGCUCGGUAAUCGAGAUGUCUAGGCAAAUGAAGACUACACGGGUCGGUGCCCGUUAGUCGAGAUGCCAUGGCACUGGACUAGUACGCGGGUGGUCUCACCCUUAUGCGUGUGGCGCACCCGGUCUAGAUCCUGUUGCUAGGGGCUCAAUCCUGGCCUGCCUGUCCCGGGAUACCGGCCGUAGGCAGGGUUGGGUCGGUACUUUUGUUCACGGCUAGGAUGGGUGAAGGGUUAUGUCACAUGUUUAUGACGGGUUCCAAGGCCAUGGAAUGCGGAGUAAAGAUGUGUCUUGUGGUUAAAGAUGUACACCUCUGAUCAGAGUAAAUCUAUUCGAAUAGCCGUGCCCUCGGAUAUGGGCAAGCCUAGCAAUGUACCCAAGUUAGUGGUUUAAUUCUUAAAAUUUGCCUAACAACUAAAAUAUGGAUUGGUUGGCCUGGGUUGGCUUGGGACGAGCUGGGACCCAGGUCGGGUUGCCAGUUCGGUCUGAAUUAUCGUAGGCCUUGGGUUAAGGCAGGUUCGUGUGGGUCCACGGCCUUGAUUAAUAAUACUGUGUAACUCUAGGAUCGUCUUUAUAAAAUAGCUUUGGGCAAUUAAUUGACUUUUAAAUGCUGUUUACUGCCAAACUUAACCCCUAUAUUAUUACCCCUUGUACCCCCUUGCAUUAAUCAUGCAUCUCCCGGUGUGACUUGCUGAGUAUGGUGGUUGUACUCAUUCUUGCUCUAUCUUUCCCCCCUUCAGUAAGAGAAGCUUUGGAGAAGAAGUCUUAGGUGGAGUCCUGGCUUAUACCCCAGUUGAGCGCCUGUGAAGAUGGAGCCGUAGGCCCGCUAGUCCGCUGCUGUUUAUUUUUGAUUGUCAGGCCUGAAGUGCCUUUGUAAUAAUGUAAAUAUUAUCGAUAUAAUAAAGAUGUGCCUUUUGUAUCAUAUUUGUUUGGUGUACCCCGGCUUUUCCUGGGACGGGGAUUAAUACACUAGCGUUCGGGAAAAGGCAAUUUUCUCGGUCGCGACAAGCUGGUAUCAGAGCCAUCUCGACUGUAGGAUAAGCCAAGUGGAUAAAACCUAAGGACAUAUUUUAUAAAUGAAACUAUUUGCGAAAGUUCCUUUUUUUUUCUCCUUCCCUAAUGCUAUUUGCAAAAUGUUUACUCCUUUCUUUCUUCUUCGGAUUUCAACUAGUACUAGUUGGUCAGCUUUGUGAAGAAGAAGAUGUCGUCAGUUGUCUGCUGAAGCUCUAGAAGGCUGUUGGAUCCGUUAGCAAAGCAAAGGAAGCAGUGAAGCCAGAUGUGAAGCAAGAGUGAAGAUCUUGGAGAACCAGUCACAGAACCUAAGCCGCCCUCUAGGGUAGUGUGGUUAGUCGUGUGUUCUUUUGCUUGUGUGUGUAGUGCGUGGUUUGCAUCGGUGGGUUGUGAUGUAACCAUGCUAGGUUGUUUGCUUAAUCAACUUGCAGAAUAAGUGAAACAAACAACACAUCAACAAGAAGAGUUAGUUCCUUUAAGGUCUUGUCCCUAGUUCUGGUCUAUUCUUUCCUUGUAUGCUUCCCCUCUCAACCUCUACCUUGUGACAGAUGGAUAACACUGGUAACAAAGGCUAUGGGAAUGAUGGAUCCGAUGACUCAAGAACCCAAGCCAAUGGGAAUGAGAAAAGCAUCAACGAAACCUCGCCAGAGCUAAUCCAAAUUGUGGUUAACCAAACCAACAUCUUGGCAACAGCAUUUCAACUAUUACAGAAUUGGUACAACCCAGCAGGGGCAACCAACGUUCAAGUACCUACAGUCCAGCAACAGUACAAGUUAUCAGAAUUUCUCAAAACUGAGCCUCCAACCUUUGCCAUUACCGUCGAUCCUAUGGAAGCCAGUGAUUGGUUGCGCACAGUCGAGAAGAAGCUGGGGUUGAUUCAGUGCACAGACCAGGAGCGGGUUGUCUUCGCAACUCAUCAGUUGGUUGGACCGGCUUCAGAAUGGUGGGAUAGCUACAAAGCAUCACGACCAGAAGGACAUACCAUCACCUGGGGCGAGUUUUCAGCUGUAUUCAAGAGAUCACAUGUUCCCGCAGGAAUGAUCACACUGAGAAAACGAGAGUUCCGCUACCUGAAGCAAGAAGAUUUGACCGUCACAGAGUACCUGCACGAGUUCCAUCGUUUGGCUUACUAUGCACCAGAAGAUGUGGAAACGGAUGAAGACAAACAAGAGAAGUUUCUCCAGGGGUUAAAAGAUGAGCUUGUAGUGCAACUACUCCUAGAGGAUUAUGAAGAUUUUGAGAAACUUGUGGACAAAGCCAUGCAACUCGAAAGUGAGCAUAAUCGGAUGACGAACUGCAAGAGAAGGAUUGUCAACAUCCCAGUAUUUCCACUGAGCCACUUCAGAUCACCGGAUCUUCUGUUGCGCAUCAAGAGUUCCUACCCCAAGAAGAUGGACACAAUGCAGACAACAACAUUAGCAAUACUAAUGCUGAUGAUACCACCAACAACCAUGGUUCUUGCCCCAUUCAUGACCACUUGGAUCAAGAGUGCAAUGUCAACAGCAUUCACCAAGAUAUCGAUGAUAGUAUCAAUGAAGGCACCCAGAAUGACAACCCUAGCAAUUUUGACUCUGAGAAAGACUCCAAUGGUGAUAGCAACUAUGGUACCACUGAUGCCAAUGUUAGCAAGGAUUUCCAACCACCAAUUCCAACUCCAAGUCAGAAUGAUCGUUCCCAGACGGACAACUCAGUAAAGAAGACAUUAAUUUGUUACAACUGCAAAGAACCAGGUCAUUUCUCCAGAGAUUGUCCACAACCGAAGCAUAACCUGCGUCAUCACUCUGGCCAUUAUGCAAGAAGAAGACAAGUCACUCGCCUUGUGGUCACUAGAGCAAACGCCAUACCUGUGAGGCCUCGUGUUAAUCAUAACCCAUAGCAGAAACAAUGUACCGAUGCUAAGCACCUUUCCUUUUUUUAGGCAGUGCUUAGUAUUCAUGUAAUAAGGGAGAAAUGUGUAAUACAGACAAGAUCUAUGGGGAUUCUUUUGGAAGAUGCGGAUAUGUGAUUAUGUGCGUAAUUGUUUACUGACAAAGGAGACCUAGGGUCUCAUAUCCGUAAGCUCAUAAUCUAUGAUAAAUCAAGUAACCUAGUUGUUGAUAGAAAAGAAAAUGAAGCGAUCUGUGUUAGAUUAAAAAGCCAAAGAGACUUUUGUUUGGACUAAGAGUUUCAGAUGUGUCUUCUUUGGAUCAAAGGCAACAACCGCCAGUCUAGCUUUUGACGAACCACUUGAAGGUUUCUCUGAAAGGCAGCAGGCUCAAGUACCACAUCGUCACCAGAAUCAUCCACAACUCUCGGAGUGAAGAGUACUUAAUUGACAAAGGUCAAAAGAUGAUUGAUAGAAGAUAUCGAAAAAGAUGUUUAUUACCGGGCAAAGAAGUAGGUCGAAAGGUGAUUGAUAAGAGAAAUCGAGAAAGAACACAUCAAGGUAAAAGGUGUAAAGGAAUACGUUAAAUGCUAACUGAGGACAACAUGAAGAGAAUAGUGGGAAGUGAACCCAAUGUAAAGAAAGUGAAUCCGAGUUGCUUGUUCGUGAGAGCUAUUCCCAGUUAUGAACCAAGUGAUAUGUUCAAAGAUAAUCUACAGAGUCAAGAUUAAAAAUCACAUCCAACAAAGAAGUUUCAGAUUUGGCAGGUCAAUAAUCAGAAAAAUACAAGUCCAGCAGUAAAGACAUUUGGGAAGACAUCAAAGCAUGUCGAGUGGGAUAAGUUGGUUCUCUUGAGAAACAUAAUUCAAAGUUAGAAUGGUCGACCCUCGCGGCGAUUAGCAGAAGUUUCUAGCACCCGGAGACCAGGAAAGCUAAAAUGAGGCAGUUAGUGGCAAGUUGUCAAUCUUGGUACCCUUGGUAAGUGGGAUAUCAUAGUCGAAAGCAUUUGGUGGUAAGCUGGAAGGAAACGCCAAGCAUGGUAUUCUCAUGAUGACAAGCAUGGUAUCCUAGUAAUGACAAGCAGGUAUCGACGUAUAACGUGAAGUGGGUAACUUGUAUGAGGUUGACACCAAGGAUAUGAACUAUGAGAAGUUCUGGAACGGAAGCAUCAUUAAACUACCGCAACCUAGUCUGAGUCAGCUAAAAGGUGCGCCCUGGUUCAAGUCAGGUGAAGAGAAGAUUCCAUCUGCAACAAAAGAUCGAGCCAAGCAGUCCAGAGUGGAGAAGUUUUGCUGGGUAAGUUUGUUAUAGAAGACGCAACGGAAGAAGUCAGAAAAGAAGAGAAAACCGCCCAACCUAUCUUCUUGCUAGCCUCCUCGAAUCUCGGGGACGAGAUUCCUAUAAGGGGGGUGGAUUUGUCACGUCCUGAUAAAUUCAUCCCGAAAUAAAAAUCAUUCUCUAAAUGGAAUAAUAGAAUUAAUUAAAAUUCGAAAAGAAAUUGGCAAACAUUAAAAUGCGUACAAGAAAAUUUCGAAUGUGGCCCGGAGAAUUUUCGUUAAAUUCUCCUUGGUCUAAAAUGAGCCCUCAAAUUUUACUUAAAUUUUCAGAGCACCGGAAAUAUUUAUUAAGCAACAACAACUAUUAUCAAAGUUUAUUAAAAAGAAAAACCUAAAAAUAAUCCUCCUUCCUCCUUUGGGCCAAGUCUGGCCCAAAGUCCUCUCUCUCUCUCUCUCGGCCCGCGCCCAAAGUCCUUCCCUCCUCCCUCUCUUUUUCCUUCCCUCUCUCUCUCUUGGGCCGCCCUCCCUCCUUCCCCUCGGCCCAGCUCCCUCCUCCUCCCUCUCCCUCCCGGGCUGCCUCUCCCUCCUUUCCUCCUGGGCCGCCUCCGGGCCCAAGCCGAGCGGCGGCCUCCCGCCCGUGCCGCGCACGUGCGUGCGCUGACCGCGCGCCUGGCCGCGUGGAUCCCACGCGCCGGGUCGUCGUCCUCCUCCCGCCCGGCCUCCUCUCUCUCUCUCCCGGAAACCUAGCGCCAUUCCUCUCCAAAAUCCACGCGAUCCGGGAAUUCCAAAAUUGAUUAGGGGGAAUUAAUCCCCUUUCCUUCCUCUUCAAUUCCCCCCCCCAAUUUCCCCCUUGAUUCGUGCCCCCAAUCGUCGGGAACGCCCGCACCAACCCCGGCCACCUUCCAUGGCCGCCGGCCGCCUUUUCCGCCGCCGUUCCGCCCUCUCCCGUGGCCGGCUCCCUCCCCGCGCCUAUAAAAUGAAAUCCCCUCGCUCCGUUCUAUCGUUUUAGCCCCCUCCCGCGCUCCCCCGUGGCCUCACCACCCCUCCCCGCCUCCUCCCUCUCUCUCUCCGAGCGCCGGCCACCUCCAGCCGCCUCUGCUGUCGUGCCCGUGCGCCGGCCGGCCGCGCCGUCUCCUUCCUCGGCGUCGCAGCUGCUUCCCCUCCACCGGCAUCGCCUCCGUUUCGCGCGGAGACCACCGGAGGCGUGUUCCCACCGGCGUCCAGUGGCAUCGCCGCCACUGCACCGCCUCCUGUCGGCCGUUCGCCGCGCCUAAAGCGUUGGCCGACGCUGCUGUCCCCUCCCUCGGCACGGUGACGUCGCCAUCAACCCCGACCGCUGCCCGUCUUCGUCCGGAGACCGCCGCCGCCGCGCCGGCCUCUCCUUCCUCCUCGUCGACGUCGCCUUCGGCAGCCCCUACCGCCGUGCCUGUGCGCCGGCCGACGUCGCCAUCUCCACCUCCGGCAUCGCAGCGGCAAGGUCGCCCUCGGCCUCGCCUCCCCUUCGACCGAACCCCGCCGGUGUUUGUCGUCGUCGUCUCCGUCCGACGUCGCCAUCCCCUCCUCCGGUCGGCCAUUCCUCCUCGCCGGCUCAUCAUCUCGCGGCGCCACCCUCCGUCGUCGGAUUUGCAGUGGCGUGUUCCGUGCCGUCUUCGCCUCCGUGCAGCUGCUGCCGGAAGCCUCGUCGCCUCCUCGCCGGCCCCGGUCGUCGUUGCGUCGUCCUCUCGUCGUUCCCAGUCGUCGUGGCGUUCGUCCCUCCGUCAAGCUGUUCGCGUUCGUCGUCCGCGUUCCGUCAAGUGAGCCGCUGCAGCCCCGUCGUUGUCUUCGUCCUCGCCUCCGCGUCGCCAAGCGUUGCGCCGGCCGCGUCUCGCCUUCAUGCAAGGAUCGCCGCCGAAGUCGUUCCCUCGCCGUUCGCCUCCGUCGUCCCCGAGCCGUCUCCGCCACGCUCGUUCAUCGUUGUCGUUCCCACGCCUCGUCGCGUGGUGGUAAGGAUCCGUCCUCUCGCUGCCCCGUCCUAGUCCUUUCGGUGUCGCCCGUGCCCGUUGUGCGGUUGUUGACCCCGGUACCCGUGUACUGGUGUCGGUAGUCGUUCGCUUGUGCGUGUGGUGACCGUGUUAGUGUGCCUGCUCGGUAGCCGCGUGGUUUCCACGUGUGCAGGCCGUGUGGUGUCUCGUGGAGUCCUUUUGUCGGCCACUCGCCUCAGUUGACACACGGGAUCCGCUUCCGUCGACCCGUGGACCGUCUCUGUGUACUUGGUCUACUGUGGUCCCUUAGGUUGACUUGUGGGGUCCACAUGUCAACGGCGCAGCCUUCUUGUCUUUUCCAGGCUAGCGCUUAUAUAUGUUUUAUAAUUGCAAAACCUAAUCACAAUAAUCCGUAAAUCUCCAUGUAACAACAUUAAACUUCGGAUGAUCAUAUCUUGGUCAUACGAACGCCGAAUCAACCCGUUCAAGUCUCCUAAUAUUUGUUAUAACCUAAAGAACCGUGUGCUUUCUUUUUAUGUAUUGUUAUUGCUUCUUUAUAGGCUUGUAGCUUGUCUUGUGUGCUUCGCGUAGCUUCUGUCGUUUCGAAGGUUCUCGAAGCAUGGUUUGCAGUCGUCGCCGAAGGUUCGGAAGGCCGUUCUCUCUGAGCAAGGCAAAUCGCAUCAUCCUUGAGCACAUUGAAUCCCAGUUUAUAAAAUUAUUUUGAUUUAAAUUAAUGCAUUAUCGCUUUAUUUAAAUUCCCGCGUUAUCAUUGUUUUAUUUAGCCAUGCCUAUUUAUCUUUGUUACGACCUUAUUAUUACUACUAUCGUUAUUUUUACCUUGUUCACCCUAGGAAAAUAAAACCCCAACUAGUGGGUACUCUAUUUAUGGUUCCACUAGUAUGAAUUUAGGUAGAUGCUUCACUGUUUAAUUAGGCAACACUAGGUGGUUUUAUAACUUUAGACUUUGGGAAUUCUCAUAUCACUUGGAUACUAUGUGAUGGUUGGCUUAUGGUGGAAUUGGACAUACCCCUCUCUUCCUCUUUCAAAACCCCUAAAACCUGUUUUCCAGUGGGGUUUGGGUGCAUGCCAGUUGUGGGAAGUAGCACCCCGGCCAAUAUAAGGAUUAAGCUCGGGCCUCUAUUGCAAAGCACUACCGUACUAACCACAUGUCUAAUGGGUAAGGCUUAACUCGGUGCUCAGUCUACUCCUGAACAAAAGGACACGGAUAGAGAUGGAUGAAGUCGUUGCGACGAUGGAUAUCUCUGAGGCAAAUGAAGGCUACACGAGCUGCGGCUCGGUAAUCGAGAUGUCUAGGCAAAUGAAGACUACACGGGUCGGUGCCCGUUAGUCGAGAUGCCAUGGCACUGGACUAGUACGCGGGUGGUCUCACCCCUACGCGUGUGGCGCACCCGGUCUAGAUCCUGUUGCUAGGGGCUCAAUCUUGGCCUGCCUGUCCCGGGAUACCGGCCGUAGGCAGGGUUGGCUCGGUACUUUUGUUCACGGCUAGGAUGGCUGAAGGGUUAUGUCACAUGUUUACGACGGGUUCCAAGGCCUUGGAAUGCGGAGUAAAGAUGUGUCUUGUGGGUAAAGAUGUACACCUCUGAUCAGAAUAAAUCUAUUCGAAUAGCCGUGCCCUCGGAUAUGGGCAAGCCUAGCAAUGUACCCUAGUUAGUGGUUUAAUUCUUAAAAUUUGCUUAACAACUAAAAUAUGGAAUGGUUGGCCUGGGUUGGCUUGGGACGAGCUGGGACCCAGGUCGGGUUGCCAGUUCAGUCUGAAUCAUCGUAGGCCUUGGGUUAAGGCAGGUUCGUGUGGGUCCACGGCCUUGAUUAGUAAUACUGUGUAACUCUAGGAUCGUCUUUAUAAAAUAGCUUUGGGCAACUAAGUGACUUUUAAAUGCAGUUUACUGCCAAACUUAACCCCUAUAUUAUUACCCCUUGUACCCCCUUUCAUUAAUCAUGCAUCUCCCGGUGUGACUUGCUAAGUACGGUGGUUGUACUCAUUCUUGCUCUAUCUUUCCCCCCUUCAGUAAGAGAAGCUUUGGAGAAGAAGUCUUAGGUAGAGUCCUAGCUUAUACCCCAGUUGAGCGCCUGUGAAGAUGGAGCCGUAGGCCCGCUAGUCCGCUGUUGUUUAUUUUUGAUUGUCAGGCCUGAAGUGCCUUUGUAAUAAUGUAAAUAUUAUCGAUAUAAUAAAGAUGUGCCUUUUGUAUCAUGUUUGUUUGGUGUACCCCGGCUUUUCCUGGGACGGGGAUUAAUAUACUAGCGUUCGGGAAAAGGCAAUUUUCUCGGUCGCGACAAAUGGUCAAAUCAAACUCAAAUAAAAAGGUCAAGCUCCCUUCGACGAUCCUCGUUGAUCAGCCGUACAAACAUCAUACAUGGAUUAGGAAACCGUUGCGCCGCUCAGUUUAUCCAUAAAAAUUAGCAUAUAUGGGGACAAUAUUGUCUAAUAGAAAAUGUCUAAUAGAAUUCAACUUUUCUUGAGGAAAAUGUCUAAUAGAAUAGAACAAAUCACUAUAGAUAUCAUCGAAAUAAUCUAUAAAUAUUACGUGCAUGCACAAGCUGUAAAAAAUAUCAACCCUGCUAUCCGUCCGACGCAAAUCAUCCGACUAGCAUCCGACUGAAACGGCGACAACGAACAACAUGACGGCGUGAGACGACUCUAUUAUCUAUAUAUGAAUCGGUCCAACGCCAUGCAAGCAGCCCAUUCCUGCACGGCUACACCAUAUGCAAGCCCAUAUACAAGUCUAGACUCCAAGCCCAAACUCAGGAAGACUCCACGACACUUCUGCCGGAGUUUUGGUCGAUCUGAAUCACUGCGUGCUAACUUCAAUCUCAACGUUCUCUUGUAAUGUUUUCACAGCUGCAGCUGCUCAUUUUCCAGACAAGUUUUUUUACCCUUUUAAUAUACUCCUCUGUUUCAGGUUAUAAGUCGUUUUGACAUUGAUCAAAGUUAAACUGUUUGAAGUUUGACAAAGUUUGUAGAAAAAGUAGUAACAUUUUCAACCCAAGAUAUUGUAAAUAUUACUAUAUUUAUCUAUAAACUUAGUUAAAUUUAAAAUAGUUUAACUUUUAAUCAAAGUCAAAACGACUUAUAAUAUGAAACAAAAAUAUUUUUUUUGAAGCAAAUGACAGCAGGAGAUCUGCUGGAUAUAUUAGAAGUAUUAGAAAUAACAGGUUGGUAUAUACCACAGUUUCAAGUUCUAUUUUUAUGCCUAUAACAGGUUGCAUUUAACAAAAUAUAAGGCUGUGUUUAGAUCAAGGGGUGCAAAGUUUUGGCGUGUCACAUUGGAUAUGUAGGCAUACAUUUAAAGUAUUAAACGUAGACUAGUAACAAAAAAUUUACAUAAUCCACUUGUAAAUUAUGAGACGAAUUUAUUAAGCCUAAUUAAUCCGUCAUUAGCAAAUAUUUACUGUAGCACCACAUUAUCAAAUCAUGGACUAAUUAAGCUUAAAAAAUUCAUCUCGCAAUUUACACGCAGUCCGCGUAAUUAGUUAUUUUUUUUGUCUAAAUUUAAUAUUACAUACAUGUGUCAAACGUUCGAUGUGAUAGGGUGUAAAGUUUUGGCAUUAGAUCUAAAUAGGCCCUAAAUGCAGUGAUGUCCAAAACCACAAGCAUAGUUUCUAAUUUGUCACGACCGGAAAUAACCCAACGGGCAUUCCUUACGUGCGUGCAUUAUUCCUUGUCCCAGGAGGCAAGGUACACCAAAGUUGAUACAAUUCAGAGUUUAACAAGCGGAAGCGUAAUUAAUUAAUUUAUUACAUGGGCGGCGAAGACCCAGCACACACAAAGACAAACGAAAAACAGCGGAAGACUAGGGCGACGACCACAGGCGCUUGACGGCAGGCACGAGCUAGACACCAAAGCCUUCAUCUUCCAGGAACUCCUCUUCUGGGUUUGGGAAAAAUUGAGCAGGACUGAGUACAACCACCGUACUCAACAAGACACACCCACAAGUGCAGAAUAAAUGCAAGGGAGUACAAGGGGGUUAUAAUAUAAGGGUUAGGAUUUGCAGUAAACAUCAUUAAAAGACACUUAGUUGCUCAAAGCUAUUUUGUGAACAUGGUCCUAGAGCUAUACAAUGUUAUUAACCAAGGCCGUGAACCCACACGAACCUGCCUUAACCCAAGGCCUACGAUGAUUCAGACCGAACUGGCAACCCGACCCUGGGUCCCAGCUCGUCCCAAGCCAACCCAGGCCUACCAUUCCACAUUUUAGUUGUUAAGCAGGUUUUAAGAAUUAAAAACACUAACUUGGGUACAUUGCUCGGCUUGCCCAUAACCGAGGACGCGGCUAUUCGAAUAGAUUAUACUCUGAUUAGAGGUGUACAUCUUUACCCACAAGACACAUCUGCCUCACGUGUAACUACGUGCCACAUACCACCACGGUAUACGGACGGAAGACAUGACAUAGUUUCCAACCCAUCCUAGCCAUAAACAAGAGUACCGACCCAACCCCACCUACGGCCGGAACCCCCGGGACAGGUAGGCAGGACUGAGCCCCUAGCAGCAGGACACCGGCCCUGUGCCAUGACAUCUCGACUACCGGGCCGCAGCUCGUGUAGCCUUCAUUUGCCCUAGAGAUGUCCAUCGACCCCCGACUUCGUCCAUCUCCAUCCGUGUACUUUUGUUUAUAACCAGACUGAGCCACAAACUAAGCCUUACCCACUAGACAUGUGGAAGUACAGUAGUGCUUUGCAACAGAGGCCCGAAGACCGGUCCUUAUAUGGCCGUGGUGCUACUAUGGCCGUGGUGCUACUGUCAACACCAUGCACCCCGAGCCCAGCCUAAAACCAUUUUGAGAGUUUUGAAUAGAGGGGGAGGUGUGAAUCCAAUUCCACAAUAAUCCAACCAUUCCAUAGUGUCUAGGUGAUAAGAGUAUUCCCAAAGUCUAGAGUUGUAAAACCACCUAAUGUUGCCUAAUUAACCAGCGAAGCCUCUACCUAAAAUCAUACUAGUGGUACCAUGAGUAGAGUGUCCACUAGUUGGGGUUUUGUUUAUUCUAGGGUGAACAACGAAAUAAUAACAAUAACAAUAAUAAGGUCAUAACAAAGGUAAAUAGGCAUGGCUAGAUAAAACAGUGAUAACGUGGGAAUUUAAAUAAAGCGAUAAUGCAAUAAUUUAAAUCAAAAUAAUUUUAUAAACUGGGAUUCAAUAUGUUCAAGGAUGAUGUGACUUACCUUGCUCGCUUUUCCAAACGUCGGCUUCAACCUCCACGAAGAGCGGAUCUUCCGAAGCUGCAGCGUCUACACGACCAACGAAAAAGAAAAGGCUUUUACUCUAAUAAACUCCAUAUAACAAGUAGGAACAAAGCACAAAAAUGGGUUCUUGACUUCUUAAGGAAAAAUUAGAGACUUGAAUGGUCCAAUUCCGAGUUCAAUUGGCCAAGUUAUGGCCAUUUGAAAUUUAUAUGCUCUUUAAAUGAAUAUUUGCGAAUUUCUUUAUUUAAAAUUUAAUUUAAAAAGGGUUUAUUGCGUCAGCCGAGGGGAGGGGGCGCGCGGACCGGGUCCACGGGAGUGGGGCCCACGCGGCAGCCUCACGGUCCACGGUGGACCGGGUGCACCCGGGCUCACACCGGCCGGCGCCGUGGGUCCCACGCGUCAGCCGCACCCGAGGGCGUGGGCGGCUGACGGCCGGGCCCCACGCGGCAGCCACUCGGCGCGCCCGAGGGCGGCCACGCCAGCGCGGUCAGCAUGAGGCGGCGCGCCCGCGCCCCGAUGGUCGCCGCCGGCGACCACCGGCAUGGCGGAGCGGCGGCCGAGAGAGGGGAGGGAAGGGGGAAAGGAGGCGACGGCCCCACGACUCACCCCGGGGCGACGGCGGCGAUGGAGGAGGCGGCCGGAACGGAGGGAGGCGGCGGCGCGGCUCGGGUCGACGGGGUCGACGGCGUUCCGGAUCGGGUCGAUGGGGUCGACGGCGUUCCGGCGGUCGGCGACCGACACGGAGAGGUGGACGAGGUGGGCGAGGAUGCGGCGAACCCGUAGGAGGCGGCGCCGAGGUGGGAGGUGGUUCGGGGCGACGACGGCGGCGGACCGGAGCUCGGCGGCGACGGCGGAGAGAGAGAGCGACGUCGCGAGCUCGAAUCCGGUGAGGAGGAAGGGCGGCGAGAGGCGGAAACGGACGGAGGAGGUGCGGGAAGGGUUUAAAUAGGGUUGGAAGGGGGAGAGAGCGGCCGGAGGGGAAGGAAACCGGCGCGGGAGGUCCGGCCGCCAUCAAUGGUGCCGGCGAGAUUUGCGGGUGCAAAUCCGCCCGUUUGAACGCGAGAGAGAGAGGGAAAAAUGGGGGGGAAAGGGAGAGGGGAUCACGGGGAGUAAUUCCCCCCACUUUAUUGCACGCGGGGACGGCGAGAGGCGGCGGGAUUCGCGGCAGCGGCAGCGCUAGGGCGCGGGGGAGGCGGCGGGAGCGGCUGGAGGAAGGGGAUGACGGGUGGGCCCCACCUGUCAGCGAGGGUGGCGGGCGGGCCCGCCCGUCAGCGGCGUGCGCGCGGGGAGAGGCCGGAUGGGCCGCGGGGAGAGGAGAGAGAGAGGGGGGGGAGGAGAGAUGGGCCGGGCCGGCCCAAGGGAGGGAAGGGGGACUUUUAGGGUUUUUCUUUUUAUAAAAUCAUUUUAACUUUGUUUAUUUCUUAACAAUUAUUAUUUGUGCUCUGAAAAUUCCACUAAAAUUUAUUUACGCAUUUUAGGCUUUUAGGAAAUGUACAAAAAUCCUCUAAGCCUUAUUUGACUUUUAACUUUGCACAUUUUAAUUGUUGGAGGCUUUCACACGGAUUUUAAUUAUUCUAGGCAUAAUUUAGAGGAUAUAUUUUAGGGUCGUUUUGGGACGUGACAAACCUACCCCCUUAAACGGAAUCUCGACCCCGAGAUUCGGAAGAACUGGCGAAGAGAUCGGGAUGGGCUGCCUUCAGCUCGUCUUCACGCUCCCAAGUAGCUUCUUCCUCGGCGUGGUUGCUUCAUUGGACCUUGCAAAAACGGAUUACCUGGUUCCUGGUCCUGCGCUCCAUGGUGUCCAGGAUUUUCACUGGUCUCUCCACGUAGGUCAAGUCUUCGCGAACUUCAAUCUUCUCUGAGUCGGCCUGCUCGGACGGCACUCGAAGGCAUUUCUUGAGUUGCGACACAUGGAACACAUCAUGCACGUUGCCCAAGGAGGCGGGCAGCUCUAACUGGUAAGCGACUUCUCCGCGUCGAGCAAUGAUACGGAAAGGACCCACAAACCGAGGUGCGAGCUUCCCUUUCGUCUGAAACCAGUGUACGCCUCGCAACGGCGUGACCCGGAGAAACACAAAGUCAUCCACUGCGAAUUCCAGGUCACGGCGUCGGUUGUCUGCAUAACUCUUCUGCCGAGACUGGGCUACCUUUAGAUUCUCCCGAAUGGUCCUGACCUUCGCUUCAGCUUCUCUCAAGAUGUCGGUCCCGAACACUUGGCUUUCCCCGACUUGGUCCCACAAUAGUGGUGUCCGGCAUUUGCGGCCAUACAACGCUUCGUACUGUGCCAUCUGUAUGCUGGCUUGGUAGCUGUUAUUGUAGGAGAACUCGGCGUAGGGGAGACUCUUAUCCCAUGUCUUCCCAAAAUCUAGGACACAUGCGCGAAGCAUAUCUUCUAGGAUCUGAUUUAGACGCUCGGUCUAUCCAUCUGUCUGCGGGUGAUACGCGGUGCUGAAAUUUAAGCGGGUACCCAACUCUUCUUGGAGCUUCUUCCAGAAAUGAGAGGUGAAUUGGCUUCCCCUAUCAGAUACAAUUUUCUUAGGAACGCCAUGGAGACUCACGAUCCUAGCGAAGUAGAGUUCAGCUAGUUUGUUCCCUCCAUAGGUGGUCUUCACGGGAAUGAACCGAGCUACCUUGGUUAGUCGGUCCACGACUACCCAUAUAGAGUCAUAACAGCCUUGGGUUUUUGGAAGUCCGGUGAUGAAAUUCAUCCCAAUUUCAACCCAUUUCCAUUCUGGUACCUGUAGAGGUUGGAGAAGUCCGGCCGGUCGUUGGUGCUCUGCCUUGACACGCUGGCACACAUCACAAAGGGCCACGAACUCUGCAAUUUCCCGCUUUAUACUAACCCACCAAUAUUUUUCUUUCAAGUCUAAGCACAUCUUCGUACUGCCAGGGUGGAUGGAAUAGGGACUUUCGUGAGCUUCCUGAAGUAUCAACUGUUUAAGUUCCUUGUCGUUCGGAACGCAUACCCGAUUUCCGUUCCAUAGGGUUCCGUGUUCAUCUUCUGUGAAACCAGCGGCUUUACCCUAUUUCAUAUUCUUGAGGAUCCCAUGCAUAUCUGGAUCAUUCUUCUGAGCCUCGCCAAUUUGAUCGAGCAAGGUAGGCUUGGCUUCCAGCGUAGCCAAGAAUCCACGACCAACUAUGCUUAGGUUCAGGGCUUCCAUCUGUUGAUGAAGUUCCGGUGGAAUGCCACGGACGCCAAGAGUGUUGCAAUAGCUUUUUCGACUUAGAGCGUCGGCGACCACGUUGGCCUUACCAGGGUGAUAGUGGAUUCCCACAUCAUAAUCCUUGAUGAGCUCUAACCAUCUUCUCUACCGAAGAUUCAGAUCCGACUGGGUAAAGAUGUAUUUCAAACUCUUAUGAUCGGUAUAUAUUUUGCAGCGAUUCCCAAUGAGAUAAUGCCGCUAGAUUUUUAGAGCAUGAACCACAGCGGCCAACUCCAAAUCAUGGGUAGGGUAGUUGCCUUCAUGAGGCCAUAGCUGACAUGAGGCAUAGGCUACCACAUGACCUUCCUGCAUAAGCACGCACCCCAAUCCUUGGCGCGAAGCAUCACAGUACACCAUGAAGUCCUUGCGAGUAUCCGGUAAGAUUAAAACUGGCGGGGAAACCAGCUUUUCCUUGAAAGUUUGGAACGCCUUCUCGCAUUGCGGGCUCCACACAAAUUUUUCUUCUUUCUUCAACAACUGUGUCAUGGGUCGAGCGAUUUUGGAGAAGUUCUCGAUGAACCUCCGGUAGUAUCCUGCCAAACCCAAAAAGUUGCGAACCUGGGUAACUGUCUUGGGUUGCUUCCAAUCUGUGACGGCGGUCACUGUUUCGGGGUCCACAGCAACUCCUUUAGCAGAUAUCACGUGCCCUAAGAAUUUGACUUUGGACAACCAGAACUCACACUUGCUAAGCUUGGCAUACAAUUGAUGUUCCCGCAACUUUCCCAACACCAGACGGAGAUGUUGCUGAUGGUCUUCCUCUGAUUGUGAGUACACCAGAAUGUCGUCAAUGAAAACCACAACAAACUUAUCCAAGUAUACCAUGAACACUUUGUUCAUUAAGUUCAUGAAGAAGGCAGGAGCAUUGGUUAGCCCGAACGACAUCACCGUGAAUUCAUACAGUCCAUAACGCGUGGUGAAUACGGUCUUCGGGAUAUCUUCUUCACGGAUACGCAAUUGGUGAUAUCCGGAGCGAAGAUCAAUCUUGGAGAAUACCGUGGCACCUUUAAGCUGAUCGAACAGAUCAUCGAUCCGGGGAAGAGGGUACUUGUUUUUUGAUAGUAACUUCAUUGAGAGCUCUGUAGUCAACGCACAUCCUCUUUGUCUUGUCUUUCUUCUCCACAAAAAUCACAGGAGCACCCCAGGGGGAAGUGCUCGGCCAUAUGUACCCCUUUUCUUUUAACUCUUCCAACUGUUUCUUGACUUCGGCCAGUUCAUUUGCUGCCAUACGGUAGGGUCGCUUGUACAGAGGAGUGGUUCCUGGAGCAAGAUCUAUCCAGAACUCAAUCUCUCGCUUGGGCGGCAUACCGGGUAGUUCUUCCGGAAACACAUCUCCGAACUCACUGACGAUGGGGAUUUCUGACAGUCCUAUCUGAUGAAGUUCUGAACUGCCGACAGAGGUUGGGGGUGCAAAGAAAACAACCGGUUGUUCCGGCCCUCGGUACAGAGUGACAGUGCGUCUUGCGCAAUCCACUACUCCUUGGAAUUGAGCCAACCAAUUCAUCCCAACGAUCACAUCCAAGUUCUUGGUGUCUAGAAGAAUCAGAUCCGAGGGAAAAGGAAUUCCCUGGAUUUCUAUAGGAACGGCAGGGCUAUAAUACUUUGCUGUCAUAACCCCUCCAGGGGUGGUGAUGAGCAGAGAGUUCCUAAGCCUUUCUACCCCAACUGAUUUCUCCCCACGACUGGCACAAAUAUAAACAAGUGGGAAGCUCCAGAGUCGAACAAAAUGGUAGCAGGGAUGGAAUGAAUGAGGAACGUACCAACGAUGACGUCUGGAGUUGUCAGCACAUCCUCGGCAGUCACGUGGUUCACACGACCCCGAAUGACAUCCUUACCACCGUUGUUGGGGCGGGGAGGCGCUUGGCCUUGCUGGCGCCUCGGCUUUGGGCAUUUAUCCGCAAAGUGCCCGGGCUCGAAGCAGUUGAAGCACAGACGCUGCUGACCUUGAACGUCUCUGCGGCCUUGACCAGGCUGCACAACGGGCGCAGGAGGACGGGGUGCACGGGUCCCUUGCUAACUCUACUGUUGCUGCGGCUGUGGGACGCUCACCAAGAAUUGAGGUCGGGGCGCGGAGCGUGGUUGCUGCUGCUUCUGCUGCUGCGAGGAGGAUCCCCCUGGAUAGGGAUUGGCGUAGCGGACCCUUUGGUUAGCCCCCUUGACCCUAGGACGAGCCUUAGAUCCAAAGCCUUAGCAAUAUUUUCGAAAUAAAAAUCCUUUCUUAUUUGUGAAAAUCCUCUAGUCUCUCUCUAUCCUGCUGCUUCAUUUAUCGUCAAAAUCUGACCUUUAAAAUGUUGCUUUUCUCUUUUGUUUUUGUUUGUAGAUGGCCGGCAGCAUCAACCGUCGUGGUCUGGACUUGACUGGUAGCACAAAUAAUAAUUGUUAAGAAAUAAACAAAGUUAAAAUGAUUUUAUAAAAAGAAAAACCCUAAAAGUCCCCCUUCCCUCCCUUGGGCCGGCCCGGCCCAUCUCUCCUCGCUGACGGGUGGGGCCCACCCGUCAUCCCCUUCCUCCAGCCGCUCCCGCCGCCUCCCCCGCGCCCUAGCGCCGCCGCCGCCGUGAAUCCCGCCGCCUCCUGCCGUCCCCGCGUGCAAUAAAGUGGGGGGAAUUACUCCCCGUGAUCCCCUCUCCCUUUCCCCCCAUUUUUCCCUCUCUCUCUCGCGUUCAAACGGGCGGAUUUGCCCCCGCAAAUCUCGCCGGCGCCAUUGAUGGCGGCCGGACCUCCCGCGCCGGUUUCCUUCCCCUCCGGCCACUCUCUCUCCCUUCCAACCCUAUUUAAAACCUCCUCGCACCUCCUCCGUCCGUUUCCGCCUCUCGCCGCCCUUCCUCCUCGCCGGAUUCGAGCUCGCGACGUCACUCUCUCUCUCCGCCGUCGCCGCCGAGCUCCGGUCCGCCGCUGUCGUUGCCCCGGACCACCUCCCACCUCGGCGCCGCCUCCUUCGGGUUCGCCGCAUCCUCGCCAACCUCGUCCACCUCUCCGUGUCGGUCGCCGACCGCCGGAACGUCGUCGACCCCAUCGACCCGAGCCGCGCCGCCGCCUCCCUCCGCUCCGGCCGCCACCUCCGUCGCCGCCGUCGCCCCGGGGUGAGCCGUGGACCGUUGCCUCCUUUCCCCCUUCCCUCCCCUCUCUCGGCCGCCGCUCCGCCGCGCCGGUGGUCGCCGGCGGCGACGCGCCGGCGUGGCCGCCCUUGGGCGCGCCGAGUGGCUGCCGCGUGGGGCCCGGCCGUCAGCCGCCCGCGCCCUCGGGUGCGGCUGACGCGUGGGACCCACGGCGCCGGCCGGUUUGAGCCCGGGUGCACCCGGUCCACCGUGGACCGUGAGGCUGCCGCGUGGGCCCCACUCCCGUGGACCCGGUCCCCGCGGCCCCUCCCCUCGGCUGACGCAAUAAACCCUUUUUAAAUUAAAUUUUAAAUGAAGAAAUUCGCAAAUAUUCAUUUAAAGAGCAUAUAAACUUCAAAUGACCAUAACUUGGCCAUUUGAACUCGGAAUUGGACCGUUCAAGUCUCUAAUUUUUCCUUAUGAAGUCAAGAACCCAUUUUUGUGCUUUGUUCCUGCUUGUUAUAUGGAGUUUAUUAGAGUAAAAGCCUUUUCUUUUCCGUUGGUCGUGUAGACGCUGCAGCUUCGGAAGAUCCGCUCUUCGUGGAGGUUGAAGCCGACGUUUGGGAAAGCGAGCAAGGCAAGUCACAUCACCCUUGAACAUAUUGAAUCCCAGUUUAUAAAAUUAUUUUGAUUUAAAUUAUUGCAUUAUCGCUUUAUUUAAAUUCCCGCGUUAUCACUGUUUUAUCUAGCCAUGCCUAUUUACCUUUGGUAUGACCUUAUUAUUGUUAUUGUUAUUAUUUCCUUGUUCACCCUAGAAUAAACAAAACCCCAACUAGUGGACACUCUACUCAUGGUACCACUAGUAUGAUUUUAGGUAGAUGCUUCGCUGGUUAAUUAGGCAACAUUAGGUGGUUUUACAACUCUAGACUUUGGGAAUACUCUUAUCACCUGGACACUAUGGAAUGGUUGGAUUAUUGUGGAAUUGGAUUCACACCUCCCCCUCUAUUCAAAACCCUCAAAAUGGUUUUAGGCUGGGCUCGGGGUGCAUGGUUUUGACAGUAGCACCUCGGCCAUAUAAGGACCGGUCUUUGGGCCUCUGUUGCAAAGCACUACUGUACUUCCACAUGUCUAGUGGGUAAGGCUUAGUUUGUGGCUCAGUCUGGUUAUAAACAAAAGUACACGGAUGGAGAUGGACGAAGUCGGGGGUCGAUGGACAUCUCUAGGGCAAAUGAAGGCUACACGAGCUGCGGCCCGGUAGUCGAGAUGUCAUGGCACAGGGCCGGUAUCCUGCUGCUAGGGGCUCAGUCCUGCCUACCUGUCCCGGGGGUUCCGGCCGUAGGUGGGGUUGGGUCGGUACUCUUGUUUAUGGCUAGGAUAGGUUGGAAACUAUGUCAUGUCUUCCGUCCGUAUACCGUGGUGGUAUGUGGCACGUGGUUACACGUGAGGAAGAUGUGUCUUGUGGGUAAAGAUGUACACCUCUGAUCAGAGUAUAAUCUAUUCGAAUAGCCGCGCCCUCGGUUAUGGGCAAGCCGAGCAAUGUACCCAAGUUAGUGUUUUUAAUUCUUAAAACCUGCUUAACAACUAAAAUGUGGAAUGGUAGGCCUGGGUUGGCUUGGGACGAGCUGAGACCCAGGGUCGGGUUGCCAGUUCGGUCUGAAUCAUCGUAGGCCUUGAGUUAAGGCAGGUUCGUGUGGGUUUACGGCCUUGGUUAAUAAUAUUGUAUAGCUCUAGGACCGUGUUCACAAAAUAGCUUUGAGCAAAUAAGUUUCUUUUAAUGCUGUUUACUGCAAACCCUAACCCUUAUAUUAUAACUCCCUUGUACUCCCUUGCAUUUAUUCUGCACUUGUGGGUGUGUCUUGUUGAGUACGGUGGUUGUACUCAGUCUUGCUCAAUUUUUCUCAAACCCAGAAGAGGAGUUCCUGGAAGAUGAAGGCUUUGGUGUCUAGCUCGUGCCUGCCGUCAAGCGCCUGUGGUCGUCGCCCUAGUCUUCCGCUGUUUUUCGUUUGUCUUUGUGUGUGCUGGGUCUUCGCCGCCCAUGUAAUAAAUUAAUUAAUUACGCUUCCGCUUGUUAAACUCUGAAUUGUAUCAACUUUGGUCUACCUUGCCUCCUGGGACAAGGAAUAAUGCACCCACGUAAGGAACGCCCAUUGGGUUAUUUCCGGUCGUGGCAUAAUUCUUAAAUAAAAUAAAACAUGCAAAUGCUAUGUUUAGUUCACCGAUUGAAAUCGCAAGACUACAACCAAGUUUGAUCACCGAUUCACAAGAUAUGCAAAGCAAACGCUUAUUUAGAUGCUUAGCUUCGACUUGGGCUUUUGCAAGGCCCAACGAGAUGGAUAAUCACAACGGAACACGAAUAGAUCACGUCGCUUACGUCGCAUACGCCGUGGUCGUAUGACAGUCAGACAUCGUAGUCGUGUGUGUAGCAUUUUCCAAAAAAAUAUUCACUGGCUAUAACAAUGAAGGCGCGCCAAUUUUCUAGUGUGUUCCGAAUCGGACGUGGUGUUUGUGUAAAGGGAAGGAGACAAAUUCGAGUCUGCCCAUGCGAACGUGUGGGCGGCAGCAAUAAAAAGGAAACUCACUGUGGAGAUUAUGGGUACCUCCACCCAUACCCACAUGGCAUGGUUAUCCGACUAGUUAUAGAGGAUAGUUUAUAUCUAUGAAAUAUGUAACAUAUCAUGACUUGUAUAUUAUGGAAUGGCCUAAAGUAUUGGUUAAGGUUUCUAUCUUGUAAUCUUGCCCCCCAUCCUAUAUAAGGUGGGCAGGAGGCCCUCUAGGGGGCAUAUGAGCACACAUGAUCGUCAGAUCUAUACUACACCCGGUGGAUUCAAAUCCUCAAAAAGGAGUAGGGUAUUACCUCUCAUUGAGAGGGACUGAACCUGUCUAAAUCCUUGUCUCCGCAUCCAUCCACUUUUAGGUCUCGUGCGCUACCCCCUUUUAUUAUUACCGAAUUCAUGUUUCGACAGUUGGCGCGCCAGGUAGGGGAUGCGCUGAGUUUUCUGUCGACGAGUGUGAUGGAACCAAUCUUCAAAUCGCUGGGUUGGUCGUUCCAAUCUAUUGCUGUUAGAUUAAUUUUUUGCAUCAGAUUGAUCCGUUUUAUUGUCUUUUGGCGUGCAUAUACUGGUGCCUGAUGCUUUUGUCGAUCCAAUGAAUGACACUAUCAUCUACAAUCUUCACGCACGAUUCUGCGCCUGUGUGAUCUCGCGUCGGCCUCGUGCAUGUGUAGAUGCAUCUUGUGUUCAUGCAUGCCUGGGAUUGAUCAGCAGAGAAGCGGGCAUGCGUGCAUUGCUAUAUGCAUCUAAUCUUCAUGCUACGUGCUAAUUAGAUUGAUUUUGGAUUAUAGAUUAUUAAUCCUAAUUUUGCUGGUUAUUUUUGCCUGCAUGUCUACGCUGGUUGACGAGGACUGAUGAUCAUGAUCACUGUCGCAUCACCUUGCCGAUCGCAGGAACCGCUGCGAGCCGCUGUACGUCAAGAAGCCGUCCACGCAGAGGACGCGCGAGACCACCGGCCGACAGCCGCCGCACACGACCUCGCGCGAUUUCGCGUGGUCUGGCAUGAUCAGGCCGUCCGUCUUGGUUGCAUGCAAUGCAAGGCAUUCAGCUAACGAUUGGUCUACAUGCAUGACAUGACCAGUGAUAAUCUGGGAGCAAGCAAACACUCCAAGCAUUCUUUGACUUUGCAUCUACGUAUAUACAUAUGUAUUUAAUUCAUUGAUGCUGCUGAAAUUGUUUCCCCUUUUUUGUUUGCACAUAUACUCGGGGAACGGCGCCGCAUGCCCGGGGGUUCAUCCUUUGCGUGGCUGACGCGGCCCGACUACACCCGUGGCGCAUGAGUCCGGGGCAUCCCGCCGCAUGCUCGGGGGGUCUCACCAACCGGCCGCCUCGCUGCCGCCGACUGGUGUCUCCACCUGCACGGCUGGCCUAUUAUGCUGCCGUUGUUGGGCGUCUACGCCUUCACCGACCGGCCGCCUCGUCCGCCGCCGACUGGUGUUCUCGCCUACACGGUUUGAUGGUCACACCACUGUUGUUGGGCAUCUACAUCUUCACCGCUGGCCUGUCUCCGUCGCUGCCGACUGGUGUCCUCGCCUAUAUGGUUGGUUGGACACACCACCAUUCAUGGGCGUUCACGUCUUCACCAACCGGCUUGCCUUCACCGCCGCCGACUAGUGUCUCCGCCUAUACGGCUGCCUCCGUUGCUGCCGACUGGUGUCUCCGCCUGCACGGUUGGUCGGUCACACCAUCGAAGUUGGGCAUCUACACUUUCACCGCCGGCCGCUGUCAUCACUGCCGUUUGGUUUCUUCGCCUCCAUGGUUGGUGUUCUCCGCCGCCAUUGCUGUUGGCGACCAUGUCUUCACUACCGGCUAUAGUCAUCGCUGCCGACUGGUGUUUUCGUCACCAUUGAUGGACGAUUUUGUUUCCACAUCGGUCACCUUUAUCGUCACCGAGGAAAAUAUCAAAAAGCUAAGUCAUCACUAAUUUUCUUUUUUUAUAUGAUAUUUUCCUUUUCCUCUGCCUCACUACGUCAACUGGUUCGCCGUUGCCUAGUGAGUCGGGGGGCUACAGAUGUUAUAUCAUAUUUUUUCAACAAAUUUCAUAAUAUUUAUCUUGAUUGCUCGCGACAUAAUCUGAGUACAAAAGUGCCUAUCGAGUUAUGGAGUUCCAUCUUCCUAUGCUUUCCGUUUGGUUUGCUAAUGGAUAGUUGCCUUUGGGCCGAUUCCUAGCACCCGGGUGCUCGUUGGAUGGACCGAAUAAUACAAGGUGCUAAGUAUUAUUCGGAUAAAUCAAAAGCAUAGAGAUAAGAUAAUUUAUUUUAUGCUCUUAAUAAUUGCAAAAGUACCAGAGUAGUAAACUCCGAUCUGUGAAACUUUGUUCCAUUAAUGACGAACUCAUGUCACUUGUAUGCAUGUUUGGGAAGUGCCUAUGCUGACUCCCGGUGCGCGGGGGCUAUGAUUAGUCAGGUAGAGUGUUUAAACGUAAGGAGUCAUCUGCUCGGGGAAAUCAAAAUUGACAAGAGGAGAAUACAUAUUUAUAAACAUUUUAAAAUACUUGAAUUUUCCUUGAGUAUUAUAUUUACAUCAGGUACUACUCAUCCUAUAUGUUUGUUCUGCAAGAUUCAGAUCCGGAUAUGCAUAAUAGGGAUUCAUGGCUUUAAGCUUAUCUCCUACGCUUCAGGAAUAGAUCAGUCAGAACACCAUCACCGGCUCACCGUCGUCGCCGCCGACUGGUGUCUUCGCCUAUACGGUUGGAUGGUCACAUCACCGUUGUUGGGCGUCUAUGUCUUCACAGCCGACUUGCCUUCGCCGCCGCCAACUGGUGCUCUCGCCUAUACGGAUGGAUGGUCACACCACCGUUGUUGGGCGUCUACGCUUUCACCGCCGGCUUGCCUUCACCGCCACCGACUGGUGUCUCCGCCUGCACGGUUGGCCUAUUAUGCCGCCGUUGUUGGGCCUCUACGUCUUCACCGCCGGCUGCCUUCGCCGUUGCCGACUGGUAUCUCCGCCUGCAUGGCUGGCCUAUUAUGCCGCCGUUGGUGGGUGUCUACGUCUUGACAGCCGGCUACCUUCGCCACCGCCGACUGGUAUCUCCGCCUGCAUGGCUGGCCUAUUAUGCUGCUGUUGAUGGGCGUCUACGACUUCACCACCGGCCUGCCUCCGUCGCCGCCGACUGGUGUCCUCGCCUAUACGGUUGGUUGGUCACACCACUGUUCAUGGGCAUUCACGUCUUCACCGACCGGCUUGCCUUCACCGCCGCCGACUGGUGUCUCCGCCUACACGGCUGGCCUAUUAUGCCGCCGUUUUUGGGCAUCCACGUCUUCACCGAUCGGCCGCCACGUCUGUCGCCGACUGGUGUCUCCGCCUGCACGGCUGGCCUAUUAUACCGCUGUUGUUGGGCGUCUACGUCUUCACCGACCGGCCACCUCGUAUGACGCCAAUUGAUGAUAUAGUCUUCAUGGCUGGCCACGUCGCCGUCACCGCUAAUAGGCGUCAUCAUCUUCAACUCAAGCUAUCUACGUUUGUUGCCGACUGGUUUCUUCACUUCCAUGGCCGCAUGAUUCUACUAGUGUUGAUUGGCCUUAUCGUCUUCAUCGCCGGUCGUCUCGUCUGGUGCUGACUAGUGCCCUCACCACUACGGCUAUUUUAUACUGCAACCACUACUGAUGGAUGUCAUCAUCUUCAUUGCUGGCCGCCUUGUUUGACACCAACUGGUUUUUUCUGGAGCUGACCGGAGUAUCUAUCUUCACAACUACAUGUCUUUGCCACCGGUUCGUUUCUGUCGCCGCCGACUCGUGUUCACUUCAUCACGGCUAUGCAACUUUGUCACCAUGGUGGAGCUACUUCAUCUUCAUUGUCUUCGGCACCGACAAACUUUAUUGCUGCUACUUCGCAAGUUUUGCUACUUUACCAGCCAUGACGUCUACAGGAGCUUCGACAUCUCAGAAUAUGAUGCCGUAAUAUUUUACUACAACAAGUGGUGUUCCAAUAUUCAAGAUUUAUACCUGGACAUCCUCAAUACAUAUAUUCACUCAAGUGAUGGCUACUCGACGAUGAGAAGCUACAGUUCUCGACUCUAUGAUCAAUUGCUUUCCAAUUAACCAAAGAGUCGGGGGCUACACAAAUACAAGACUCAAAAUUUGACAAGUUUUUUUUUUGUCAAGAUGAAGCAAUCAAUCAAUCAACGAGUCAACUUUGGGAGUUAUUAUCUCCGUCUGCGCUUCAGAGCCGGCAUUUUACUUCAGCGACUCCAAUUAUUACAUCGGCAGGUCAAGAUUAAAUUUACAUGUCUGGGAGUUUGGAGUCAUCAACCAAUCAACUCAGAUCAGAUUCAAUGAGUUGAACAACAGCAUAUACUUUCCUCUAAGUGAACCAUCUGCAAGAGCUAUAGCACCAAGUUCUACUGCCAUCUUCAUAAAUCAAGAGGCGUUGCAUCAAUCUUCGUCGCACACAUGCCAACAUUAAGAAAAUACUUGAGCAUGGAUUUCUUCUCAACAGUUUGAUGGAUUGUUGUUACUGACAUCAUCACCUGCACAUCUACUUCAACGGCCCUGAUGUCUCCGCCAUUGCUAAGGGAUGACUACGUCCUCACCGUCGGUUGCUUUUGUCAUCACCGACUUUCAUCACUGACUUGUUAUUUCGUCUUCACGAUUGGCCUACUACGCAACUGCCAAUAGAGGAUCUCAUCGUUAUCAUCGGCUGCUACACCGCUAUUGACUGGAUCACCAACAUCAUCAUCUUCAUCAACAUCCUGUCAAACCUCUUCAACAUAGCCCACUCUACUGCUAUUGAUGGGCAACUUCGUCAACAUAUUUGAUCAUAUCUAUUGCUGCCAAUCGUCAUUACCAUCGGUUGCAUUUGUCGUCGUCGACUAUUUCAUGCAUUUUCAUGAUUGGAGGAUUUCGCUAUCGUUGUUGAUCUGUCUCGUCUGUCUCCGACUGAUUAUUUCGUCACCAUGGCUACAAAACUCUGUCGCUAUUGCUGGGUGCCUUCAUCUUCACUGCUAGUUGAUCUGACUGUUGCCAACUGAUUUCUUUGCUUCCAUGCCGAUUGCAUCAACUAUCACCGAUGGACAAUUUGAACUACUCCAAAAGGAUAAGCUAUAUGCUUAGGGGCUUAUGAGCUCAAGCACAAGGAUCAUACCUUCAAGUUGGAUUUUGUUCUAGAUACAGGCAACAUGCACUCGUAGUCCUGAAAUUAUUUUCUAUGCUCGAAGACUGGACCAAUCAUUAUUCCCCGUAAGGGCUAUCAACCGAAUACUUGCGCCAGUCGGGAUUCAAUUUUUAUAUCUAUUUUUGAGUAUCCCAUAAGGGAUAAUCACUCAGAUCAGAAGCUAUUCAUAUGAGCUACACUUGGUCUAUAUCACCCGGAAGAUUUAUUACUCGGGAGCAUGUUACAUGCGUCAUCCUUUAAAGGGUGUCGAAGGCCUAGGCCUAAUAUGUCUGCAGCCCAUAUGUUCAGGUGUGGCCUAUCACGUUCUUUUAAGGACUUAGACACUUUUUGAUUAGGCCAAAGUGCGCGUGAUCAAGUGCCCAAUACCUUAAAAUCAUUUUAUACCGCAGUUACUCAACUUUUUAGGAGUUGGUACAAUGCAUUUUAAAAGGUGCCCAACAGUGAAGUUUUUCAUAGCUGUCCCGCUGACUUUUUUAUAUAGUCAAGGCGCUGUUUGGGUUUAUCAAGCAAUUGAUUGGAUACAAUAUCGUUACUUUUUGCCACGUAAGUGUGCAUUUUUAUUGACCAAUAUUAUGGCUUAGGCUGAUUAUAUAUUUUGGUCAUUUUCUAGGCGGUUGGUAAAUCCUUUAUGAGUUUAUUUACUCGGAUUUUAUACCACAUAUGCCAUAUAUUUUCAGGUGUGGUGAAACCAUGUGUCUUUUAGGGACUCAAGCACAUUUGUUAAAUCAGUGUGUGCAUGGUGUAUGCCCAAUACUUUGGAAAUUUCUUUAUUCACAACAUUCAAGCUUCUUUUUAGCUAUUUUGCUAUGUGAAUUUUCAAUGAUGUAGUCAACUUUAGGUUGCAAGCAUCAUAUUUUACAAAACAGUCGGUAUAUCACUCGGAUCAUAUUAUUCAGGGAUUCACACCACAUAUGCUAUGUAUUGAUAUCAAGUCACUUGGUUGACUACAAUUAUCAAAACCGCUCGGUUGGUUGGAUUAUUUACUCCUUGACUAUAUGUUUAGUUUAUUCGACUAAUCACAUAGUCGAGGGCUACACCUAUUAGGUGCAUCUAGUCGAUGCACCUAAGUUUACAUUCAAUUAUUUUUUAGCCCUCCACAAUCUUCAGAUUUGGUAAAAGUACUCGGGAGACCAUGGCAAAGAUGAUUGAAGCACUCGGCUUUGGAGUAAUCUAGUUCGAGAGAAGAUUAUCUUUUCGACUGUGAAGGUCUCAGGGGCUACUGUGGAGAUUAUGGGUACCCCAUACCCACAUGGCAUCGUUAUCCAACUAGUUAUAGGGGAUAGCUUAUAUCUAUGAAAUAUGUAACAGAUUAUGACUUGAGUAUUACGUUUCCUUGUAUAUUAUGGAACGGCCUAAAGUCCUGGUUUGAUAAUAUUGUAAAGUAGAUUUAGGAAAUCGAUACCGUAUUGGUUAAGGUUUCUAUCUUGUAAUCUUGCCCCGCAUCCUAUAUAAGGUAGGCAGGAGGCCCUCUAGGGGGCAUAUGAGCACACAUGAUCGUCAGAUCUAUACUACACCCGCCAGAUUCAAAUCCCCAAACAGGAGUAGGGUAUUACCUCUCAUUGUGAGGGCCUGAAUCUGUCUAAAUCCUUGUCUCUGCAUCCAUCCACUUUUAGGUCUCGUGCGCUACCCCCUUUUAUUAUUGCCGAAUUCAUGUUUCGACACUCAUGCAGCUCAAGUCGUUCUUGUUUUUGGGAAAGCUCGAUUCGAUAUCUCCGCGGGGCGCGCCGAUGUGUUUGAUUCGAAACGCCGCCGAGUAGUUUCGUGAGAUAGAUCUGCUGGCGGCCAUGGCAGCUGAUCCUCCAUGUAAGGAGGUGGAGCAGGCGGUGACGCCAUGGGAGGUGUCCGCUCCGGGGGGAGGGCGGCACCAUCGACUACGAAAAAAUGGUGGACCGCUUCGGCUGCAACCGCCUCGACGCCGCGCUCAUCGACUGCAUCGCUCACCUCACCUCCCGCCUGCCGCAUCGCUUCCUCCGCCGCGGGAUCUUCUUCGCUCACCGGUGUUCUUCUGCAGCUAAAUUGGAGGAGUUGGCGACUGAAUUGCAGAUGGUUUUUGUUUGUUGGAUAGGGAUUUGAGGAGGAUACUGGACCUGUACGAGGCGGGGGAGAAAUUUUACCUCUACACAGGGAGGGUGUUAGUGAUAUGCCCUAGAGGCAAUCAUAGAGAUAAUUGUAUCACACACUCUGUUUACAUACUUAUCCGACUUUGUUCCUUGAAAUAGAUAAACUCAUUAUUGGUUAAUGAAUAUGUGAUUCUUUCAUGAGACUCUUUAUGUUGUGUGUUGCUAUUUCUAAAGGAUCCCUGAUCAAAUAUCAUAUGUGGAACAAAUAUGUUUAGAUGAUCAGCACAUGUAUUAAUUGAUGAUCAUGUCUCAUGGAUCAUGGUAUAGAGAUACCAAAUUAAUAAUGUGGACACAUGUUAGUGAACAUGUUGUUGGAUAGAUCCAACAUGAGACACUGCAAGAGCCAUAUGUGUUGUGUCAUCAAUGAUCUCAUUUAGUGUUGGUGUUGAAUCCUUAGACUUGAGAUUAUCAUGGUUCCCAACAUGUGAAGCAGCUUACUUAGGGACUGCUAAACGCUACGCCGUAAUUGGGUAGUUAUAAAAGUACUUUUUGGGUAUGCUAUGAAACAUGUAGUGGGAUAUGAAUAAUCAAGAUGGGAUUUGCCCCUCCUAUGGAGAGAUAUCUCUGGGCCCGUCGAUGUUGUAGAUUAUGGAAGUGCAUGGCCAUGUCAAAGGUGAUUGAGGAGUCAAUCACAAGUUAUAUAAUCUGUCAACAGGUCGAGUGAAUGAUUGAGCUAUUAGAGGAUGGCACAUAUCUAGCCUUGAGCUUAAUCGAUAUCGUGAGUCAAAUGGUUCAUACAAGUAUACACUACAGGUUCAGCCGAUUUGAUCUUUAUGUAUGCCUGGUGGGUCAAUACGUUCUGCUAGGGGCCGCUGUUGACACGUGGACCGAAAAGGAGUUUUCGGGUUACAGCUGAAUAUACAUGAACCUACAGGGUCGCACGCUUAAUGGGCUGGAAUAAGGGGAUUGGAUGGAGAUCCAAUAUGAGCUUAAUUCGGAUAGGCAUCCGAAUAGGAGUCCUACGGGCCUUGGAGGCUCGAGUGAUGGAUCCUAUAUAUUCGUGAGGGGUGUGACUGGCGGAGGCAUUGCAUCACGUGAGAAACCCUAGCCGUCACUGUCACGUCCUGAUAAAUUCAUCCCAAAAUAAAAAUCAUUUUCUAAAAGGAAUAAUAGAAUUAAUUAAAAUUCAAAUAGAAAUUGGCAAACAUUAAAAUGCGUACAAGAAAAAUUAUUUUGUGGCCCGGAGAAUUUUUGUUAAAUUCCCCUUGGUCUAAAAUGAGCCCUCAAAUUUUACUUGAAUUUUCAGAGCAUCGAAAAUAAUUAUUAAGCAACAACAACAAUUAAGAAAGUUUAUUAAAAAGGAAACUAAAAAUAAUCCUCCUUUUUCUUUGGGCCAAGUCCAGCCCAAAGUUCCUUUCCUCUCUCUCUCGGCCCACGGCCGAAGUCUCUCUUUCCUCCCUCUCUUUUUCCUCCCCUCUCUCUCCCAGGCCUCCCCUCCUCCUCCCGGCCCAUCUCUUCCCUCCUCUUCCGCUUGGGCCGCCCCUGCCCUGUCCCGGCCCAGCCGACCAGCCGCCCCAGGCCGCCUCCCUCCGAUUUUUUUUCAUUUUUAAAUUUUUUUCUUUUAAUAUUUACAGAAAUAAUCCAUCGGCGCAAAAAAUUACAAAAAUAGACCCUGCCGCCCUCCACUAGGGCGGCAAGCUGACGUGGCAAACGGGGGAGGGACGGGCGGUGACGGCAGACGGGAGAGGAAGGGUUUUUUGCACGAAAACCCUUGCUGCCCUUUGUUUGGGCGGCAAGGGGGCCCCAUGCAAAAAAGCCAGCCCGGGCCUAGUACUUUUUGGCCGGUACUUUUUUCAUCUGGGUAGGGCGGCAAGGGGCUCAGAUGCAAAAAAGUACGAGCCAAAUGCUCUUUAGGGCUGCGAAAAAUGCAUUUAGCCCCAGAGGGCGGCAAGGGGCUAAAUGCAAUUUUUGCAGACGGCGGCAGACAGCGUCGUCGAGCCGCCAUCUGCCACGUUAGCUUGCCGCCCACCACUAGGGCGGCAGGGUCUAUUUUUGUAAUUUUUUGCGCCGAUAGAUUAUUUCUGUAAAUAUUAAAAGAAAAAAAUUUAAAAAUGAAAAAAAAAUCGCCUCCCUCCUCUCCUUCGAGCCCCUCUGCACGCGCGGCGCAUGUGCACGCCUUGCGCCUGACCGGUGGGUCGACCCACCCGGUCGUCUUCAACCUCCAGCCGGCCGCUCCUCUCUGUCCCUCUCCCGAACGGAAAAAAAUUCUAUGCGGCAGCGUCGCACCAAGCUUCUCGUGCGGCACUGCGUGAACUGGCGACGCGUGUCCAACUGCCUCCCGCGUGAGGCGCGUCUAUCGCGAUUUUUAGUGGAGCCGAGCCGACGCCUAUCACUAUGGUGGAGCCGAGCCGAGCCGUCGCUCUCAUCUGCUAUGGCGACAGCGGCGGCGGCUGCUGCUGCUGCUUCUGAAACGGCGGCGGCGCGCUUGAGUCCCCCUACAGCGGGCGACGGCGCAUCGGCGCAAGGCCACGAGGCGCGAGCGGCAUGGCCUUGCUUUCCUUUCAAUAAUUCAUUUAGCUGCACUUGGCCUGAAUAAUUUCAUUUUUUUAUAAGGUCUCUUUUGAUGCAAACGUUGAUGAUAAUAUGCAUAGAGAUUUUUCGAACAUGGCUGCUCCUCCUAUCCAUGGAGACUAUACAAGUCUUUUGUUUCGACUUGAUCAAGAUGCCUUGACUUUUCUGCUGCUGCUCCCUGCAGACCUGCUUGCUCCUGCGGUGCUGCUGCUGCUCGGCUGCUCCUGCUCUCGCGCAGCGCGGUCCCGCGCGCGCCGCCGCCAGCCUGCUGCAUUGCUACUCCUGCUCACGUGCUCCCGCGGCUCCACGCUGCCGCCGGCCUGCUGCUCGCGGUUCGCGCGGCCGCUCUGAUGCUCGGCUGCCCGCCUGCCUGUCGGAGUGUCGGUUGCCGCCAUGCAGCCAUGCCGCUCACGCCUCGCGGCCUUGCACUGACGCGCCGUCGCCCGCUGUAGGGGGGACUCAAGUGUGCCACCGCCGUUUCAGAAACAACAGCAGUUGCCGCCGUCGUCGCUAUAGCAGAUGAGAGCGACGGUUCGACUUCAAGGUGUGGGCCUGCGGCUUGGACUCGUUGUGAUAGGCGUCGGCUCGGCUCCACCAAAAAUCACGAUAGACGUGGCUCGCACGGGAGGCAGCUGGACACGCGUCGCCAAUUCGCGCAGUGCCGCACGAGAAGUUUGGUGCGGCGCUACCGCAUAGAAUUGUUUUCCCUCCCGAACCCUAGCGCUGCCAUCCUUCGAUCCCGCUCCACUGCGCAAGUUCCGGCCAAAUAAAUUGCAAAAACGGAAUCCCCAUCCCUUCCUCAUUAUUUCCCCCAACUUUUCCCCUUUAAUCCCGCCCCCAAUCACCAGGAUUUAAUCCCUCUUCUUUGACCGCCAUUGAUGCCGCCGGCCACGCUCUCCGGCAUCGUUCCCGUCCCCUCCAGUGGUCGGCACUCCCCUCCAUUGCCUAUAAAACGGAGCCCUAGUCCACCUCUCCUUCUGUUUUCCCCCUUCCCGACCUCCCUAGCCACACCGUCGCCGACCUCCUCUCUCUCCUACGCCGCCGGCCAAAUCCAGCUACCCCUGCCGCCGCGUCAGCACGCCGGCCAGCCGUGCCGUCGCCUCCCCCGGCAUCGUAGUCGCCUCCCCUUCCCCGGCCUGCUCUCCGUUUCCCGCGAACACCUCCGGAAGUGCAUCCCCGCCGGCAACAGUGGCGUUGCCGCCACUGUUCCGCCUCCGGCCGCCUCUGCCGCGUCUCCUGUGCGCUGGCCGACGUCGCCACCACCUCUCCCGGAACCAGAACGCCGUCAUCUUCCCCGUCCAGGCGUCGCCCGUAUUUCGCCGGAACACCGCCGUGCCGCGCCGGCCUCUCCAUCCGCCUUGCCGGAAUUUCCCCGGUCGGCCCUUCCUCCUCCCAUGCGCUGUCGGCCACGCCACCACCACCUCCAGCAUCGCAGCGGCGAACCGGCGACGUCGUCCUCGGCAUCGCCUCCCCUCCAUCCGAACCCCACCGCCGGUGUCCGUCAUCGUCUUCACUGUUCAUCCUCGCCGGCUUGUCGUCCCGCGGUGCUGCCUCCAUCGUCGUCAUCACAGCGGUGUGUUCCGCGCCGUCCUCGCAUCCGUGCAGCUGCUGCCGGCUGCCCUCGUCGCCUCCUCGCCGGUUCUGGUUGUCGUCCUCCCGUCGUUCUCGAUCGUCGUGGCGUUCGUCCCUCCGUCAAGCCGCGUUCGUUCGUCGCCCGCGUUUCGUCAAGUCUGCUGCAGCCUCGUCGUUGUCUUCGUCCUCGGCUCCACAUCGUCAAGCCCUGAGUUGGCCUCGUCCUGCCUUCGUCCAAGGAUCGCCGGAGAAGUGUCGUCCGUUCGUCUCCGUCGUUCCUGUCCAUCUCUGCCGCGCCGUUUGUCGUCGUCGUUCCCACGCCUCGUCGCGUGGUAGUAAGGAUCCGUCCUCUCACUGCCCCGUCCUCGUCCUUUCGUUGUCUCCCCAUGCCCAUUGUGUGUUUGUCGACCCCGGUACCCAUGUACCGGUGUCGGUAGUCAUUCGUGGGUGCGUGUGGUGACCGUGUUUGUGUGUCCACUCGGUAGCCACGUGGUUUGCACGUGUGCAGCCCGCGUGGUGUCUAGUGGAGUCCGUUUGUCUGCCACUCGCCUCGGUUGGCACACGGCGUCUGCUUCCAUCGUCCCGUGGAUCGUCUCUGUGUACUUGGUCUACCGUCGUCCAUUAGGUUGACAUGUGGGGUCCGCAUGUCAGCAGCGCAGCCUUCCUGUCUUUUCCAGGCUAGCGCUUGCACAUGUUUUAUAAUUGCAAAACCUAAUCAUAAUAAUCCGUAAAUCUCCAUAUAACAGCAUUAAACUUCGUAUGAUCAUAUCUUUAUCAUACGAAUCCCGAAUCGACCCGUUCAAGUCUCCUAAUGUUUGUUAUAACCUAAAGAACCGUGUGCUUUCUUCUUAUGUAUUGUUAUUACUUCUUUAUAGGUUGUAGCUUUGCUUGUUUGCUUCGUGUAGCUUCUGUCAUUCCGGAGGUUUCGGAAGCGUGAUUCGCGGUCGUCACCGAAGGUUCGGAAGGCUGUUCUCUCUGAGCAAGGCAAGUCUCAUCAUCCUUGAGCAUAUUGAAUCCCAGUUUUUAAAAUUAUUUUAAUUUAAAUUAUUGCAUUACCAUUUUAUUUAAAUUCCCGCGUUAUCACUGUUUUAUUUAGCACUUCCUAUUAUCACCUCGUUCACCCUAGGAAAACAAAACCCCAACUAGUGGGUACUCUAUUCAUGGUUCCACUAGUAUGAACUUACGUAGAUGCUUCGCUGAUUAAUUAGGCAACAUUAGGUGGUUUUAUAACUUUAGACUUUGGGAGUUCUCAUGUCAUUUGGACAUUAUGGAAUGGUUGGCUUGUGAUGGAACUGAUACACACACCUCCCCUGUCACGCCCGGAAAUUCACUAGUAAUUUCCGAACUUAUUUGUGCAUAAAACCCUCGUCCAGGAAUCAGCCGAGGUACACAAACUGACAAUUUAAUAUACAAAUCCAUCAUAAUAAUAACUUUACAUAAUUACAAAAGAAAAGAAAACAGCAGCGGAAUUACGGUCUAGCGAAGCUCCAGCUCCACUCCCACAGGCAGCUCAACUGGGGUAUAAACCAUACGUCUUCUCCUUUGCAACUUGUCUUCAACUGAGGUUUGAUUGAUUAUUGCAAGGUGAGCAUAUGACAUACUCAGCAAGCCACACAACAAAUAUGCAAGUGCACAAGGAUACCAAAAGGAUGGCAUAAUAUAGGGCUCAUUUGCAAAAGCAGCAUUUAGCAAACAUUUGAGAGUUGUAAAACAGUAGAGUAAUUAAUCAUCAAUAUUAAUCAACACUGAACAGCACACCCAUGCUGCUCAGGCCCAACCAUCCUGAACAACCAUACCCGGCUGCACAGAUCUAUCUCCAAACCAGGAAUGUACCAUUCCAAACCAGGAGCUAAAUUAAUUACCAUCAAUUACCACAUUAUUAUUAAUGAGUAGUGUGGGACUAAUCAAGAAAGACAUUGUUCGACCCGCCCAUAACCACGGGCACGGCUAUUCGAAUAGUUUUACUCUGGCCAGAGGUGUACCACUGUACCCACAAGACACAACUCCACAAUAUGUCACCAUAUCAUCAUGUGCCCAUGCUGAACAUGUCACCAUUAGUGUAGUUGUGACAAGACCCCUCGCAUAACUCAACCAAAAGCAGUGCACCGUUCCUGGAUCGUAGUCACCCCCUCAAAAACCAGAGGCAUGGACUCCCCAGCGACCCUUGUGGGCUUAUCUCCGCCACUUCUCAGUCUGGUGCUCCGUAAUGAGCCUUGUUAUACAAAGUGUCCAGCCGUUGCCCAUUCUGGCUUGUGGUUGGCACGGGUAAUGUUUCACAACCGAAACUCGUGAACCGGUCCUUAAUUGUCAUAAGUACGACCAUCAAAACCAUGUGCUCACAACCCACCAUUAUCAAGUUUUAGUUGGCACAUUAAUUAACCAAUCACGAUUGACCAACGAUUGACCAUCGUGAGCUAUCAUUAAAUAUCCAUCAUUAAGUAAUAGUGAAACAUUAGUUAUCCCAAUUGUGUGCUAAUGUUUAACAUCUAGCUGAACCAAUAUAUAAAGCUCAACUAGUCAAAUUAUAAUAACCCAAGGUAUGAAGGAAUAGAGUAAUUAAUGCAAAUUGGCCAUACAAAGGAAUAAUUCACACCACACGGUGACAUUCGAAAAUAAAUGCACAGUUGAAAUAAAUAGAGAAUUUAAUUAUAGGAUCAACAUGCUCAAAGGAAUUGUGUUUGGGAUCUGUGUGACUUGUCUUGCAAUAACAUGUCUUCAAUUAAUCUUCUUGAACACUUCUGGCGCACUCGCGAACCUUCGAAACGACGGAAACGACAAGCUAACACGCAAAACAAAGAAAAAGACUAAUAAAAACCAAAUAAACAAUACAUAUAAAGUAAGCAAACAUGUAGGUCAUAAUUUUAGAUGAAUUAUGAGACUUGAACGGCCUCAUUCUGACUUCAUAUGAAUUAAUUAUGAAUUUUACAAGAUUUAAUCUAAUUAAAGCCUAUUUAAAAAGGAUUAAAUAAAAUUAAUUCAAUUUAUGGAUAAUUUAAUAUGUAGAUGUUUAUUUUAUACAACUUUUGCAACUUGAACCACAUUAAACCAAGUUACAAUGAUUAUGAAUUUAUAAAGAUUAAACUGGAUUAAAGCAUUUAUAUGGAUUUUAAUUGAAUUAUGACGCAAUAAAGAAUUAUUUUUGAAAGGAAAAAGGGAUUUAUUGCGUCAUCAAAGGCGGUCCACGGUAAACCGGGUUCAAAGAGACGGUCUACGAAACCAACGGCCGAGAUCUAAUCUAAGCCGAACGGACGGCCGAGAUCGAUCCGGUCCACCACGGGCUAUGGAUGACGUCAGCAAUGACAUCAGCGAUGAUGUCAUCGCCGGCGGCGGCUCGAGACCACGGGCUCGACGGCGAACGGCAGCGAGGCGGCGCAAACGGAGGACACCAACGGGUAGAGCUCGACUCGGCGAACUCACCAGCGGCUUGGAUGAUGGCAAACGACGACGGAUGACGACGUUGGCGAGGUUGAAGCGGCGGCGGUCUUCGGGUCGGCGGUGACGGCGGCGCUCCGAAGGGAAAUGGCAGCAACGGAGGGGUGGACGAGGUGCUGCUCCUCCUCGCGAUCCUGAUGGUAGCAACGGCGACCGAAGGCGGCGGCUGCAAUAGCAGUGCGGCGCGGCUGCAACAGCGGCCGGAGGUUGAAGACGACUGACAGGUGGACCCCACCUGUCCGUGGCUGAGAGAGAGGAGGGAGGGCGCGGCGGAUUGGGCCAGCUGAGCCGGACGCAAGCAGGCCGAGGAGAGGGAGGGAGAAACUUGGGCCGACUUUCGGCCCAAAGCCAAAAGGGGACUUUUAAAACCUUUUUCAAUUUAAAUUAUUCAUGAAAUGAUAUUCCAUUGAUUAAAAAUACUUCCUUGGCUCAAAUAGAUCCCAGAAAAAUCUAGGAACUAUAGAAACAAGAGAAGUAUUUAACAAAAUUUUAUCUAGCCCACUUUUAUGUUGAGAUUUAACAAAUUAAAAUUAGAUCUUCUCUUUUAGGCUUUUAAGAUCAUUUCUAAUAAUUCCUUUUAAACAACAAUUUAUAAUUUAAGGAUUUUUAAACAAGAAAAGCACUUAACAUAAUUAUAAUUAGAUCAUUAAUUGAUUAACUAAUUACUGAAUUGUUCUUUGUAUUAUUAAAAUUAGAAAUUGAGCUCCGAAAAAUCCGAGAAAAUUCCAGAGAGUAUAAUUAACCUUGGAGAAUUUAAUAAAAAUUAAAUCCAUCCAUGCUUUAUAUUUAGGAAAUUUUAUUUCCCACAUUUAACUUCACUUGUAAAUUAAUGAACAUUUAAUAUAAAUUCUAUUAAUAAUUUAUUAAAUAAAUUAUAAAUCCUAAAACAAAAAAUCAGGCUGUGACAUCCCCCUCUAUUCAAAACUCCCAAAAUGGUUUGAGGCUGGGCUCGAGGUGCAUGGUUCUGCUAGUAGCACCUCGGCCACUGUAAGGACCGGUCUUCGGGCCUCUGUUGCAAAGCACUACCGUACUAACCACAUGUCUAAUGGGUAAGGCUUAACUCGGUGCUCAGUCUAGUCCUGGCAAGAGUACACGGAUGGAGAUGGACGAAGUCAGGGCUCGAUCCUGCCUACCUGUCUCGGGGGUUCCGGCCAUAGGCGGGGUUGGGUCGGUGCUUUUGUCACGGCUAGGAUGGGUAAAAGGGUUAUGCCACAUCCUUUAUGAUGGGUUCCACGGCCGUGGAAUGCGGAGUAAAGAUGUGUCUUGUGGGUAAAGAUGUACACCUCUGAUCAGAGUAUAAUCUAUUCGAAUAGCCGCACCCUCGGAUAUGGGCAAGCCUAGCAAUGUACCCACGUUAGUGGUUUAAUUCUUAAAACUUGCUUAACAACUAAAAUAUGGAAUGGUUGGCCUGGGUUGGCUUGGGACGAGCUGGGACCUGGGUCUGGUUGCCAGUUCGGUCUGAAUCAUCGUAGGCCUUGGGUUAAGGCAUGUUCGCGUGGGUUCACGGCCUUGAUUAAUAAUAUUGUGUAGCUCUAGGAUCGUGUUUACAAAAUAGCUUUGGGCAACUAUGUGACUUUUAAAUGCUGUUUACUGCAGAACCUAACCCCUAUUAUUAUCCCCUUGUACCCCCUUGCAUUAGUCAUGCAUCUCCCGGUGUGGCUUGCUGAGUACUAUGGUUGUACUCAUUCUUACUCUAUCUUUCCCCUCUUCAGUAAGAGAAGCUUUGGAGAAGAAGUCCUGGGUGGAGUCCUGGCUUAUACCCCAGUUGAGCGCCUGUGAAGAUGGAGCCGUAGGCCCGCUAGUCCGCUGCUGCUUAUUUUUGUUUGUCAGGCCUGAAGUGCCUUUGUAAUAAUGUAAAUAUUAUCGAUAUAAUAAAGAUGUGCCUUUUGUAUCCUGUUUGUGUGGUGUACCCCGGCUUUUCCUGGGAUGGGGAUUAAUACACUUGUGUUUUGGAAAAGGUAUUUUUCCGGGCACGACAAGCUAAUAUCAGAGACAUCUCGACUGUAGGAUAAGCCAAGUGGAUAAAACCUAAGGACAUAUUUUAUAAACAAGACUAUUUGCAAAAGUUCCUUUUUCCUCCUUUCCCUAAUGCUAUUUGCAAAAUGUUUACUCUCUUCUUCCUCCUUCGGAUUUUCAACUAGUACUAGAUGGUCAGCUUUGCGAAGAAGAAGAUGUCGCUAGUGGUCUGCCGAAGUUCUAGAAGGCUGCAGGAUCCACUAGCGAAGCAAAGGAAGCAGUGAAGCCAGAUGUGAAGCAGGAGUGAAGAUCUUGGAGAACCCGUCGCAGAACCUAUACCACCCUUUAGGGUUUUGUUAGUCGUGUGUUUCCUUGAUUGUGUGUGUAGCACAUGGUUUGCAUCAGUGGGGUGUGAUGUAACCAUGCUAGGUUGUUUGCGUAAUCAACCUGCAGAAUAAGCCUAACAUAUAUCAUAACAGAAAAAGAUUAGAUCUGUUAAGGUCCUAUCCUUAGUUUCUGAUCUCUUUCUUUCCUCCAAUUUUCUCUUUCCCCCUCUCUAAACCUUGUAACAGAUGGCUGACAAUGAGAAAGGAAGUAAGGUCAGAAAUCAGAACAAGGGUGCCCCAAGCUCCCGAGUGAAUGAAGCACCAGACACCAGUUGUGUGACAGUGGUCUAACACCUGAUUAACUAGAACGAAUUGCUUAUAGAGCUACCACAGCAGCAUCAGAUGCCAAUUCUAGACCCGAGUCAGAUGCAACCUCAAGUGCAGUUGGAGGCAGUCCAAUCACUCACACCACAAGUUAGCGCACCGCCAGCAUCCCAACAAGCCCAUCGUGCCAUGCCACAUGUGGACUCAAAAGAAGCAAGAAUCAUUUGUUUUAUCUAUGUUGAACAAGGGCACUAUGCAAGGAACUGUCCUUAGCAGAAAAAAAAAGCACCAAUGCGAACCGAAGAUGAGGUCCGUAAGAUGACCAUUACCGGCACAGAAUGGCCUCCACCAGGAAUGACAAAACGUCAAAGAAGAAAUUUCUUCCGAGGUGCACCAUAGUUGACGGAACAUCUUUUAGCUAAUGGAGGUAGAGUGUCUGAUAGCGAAGAUUCAGAUCAAGUCUCCUCACGGGUUGAAGAUGAGAAGUCUCUCCAAGGUUUCAACCAGAAUAAAAAGGAACAUAUGGCAUGCUCUCGUUGUGGAGAAAUCGGUCACUUUGCCAGCUCAUGUGUCACCACUUGCGUUCAUUGUGAGGAAGACCAUCCACCCGACGAGUGUCCAACAAGCAGGAUUACUUAUUUCUUGUGCGAAUGAGCUGAUCAUGUACGAAAAGAUUGUCAAUUCAGUUUUCUGCUGAUGAAGAAGAUGGCCAACCAACCCGCCAGUUACAACAGACAGAAGCAUCAAGGCAACCCAAAUCCUCGACAAGACUACAGUUUCAGCCUAACUCCAAUGCCAGGACAGAGGAAUCAAAAUGGGAAAAGAAAAUGCCGAGUCUGGAAAGAUAUCUGUUGUUUCAAUUGUCAAGAAGUGGGUCAUUUCGCCGACAAGUGCUCGAAACCGAGAAACAUAUUUACCAACACGUCAGUCCAUGCAACUCCGCGCAAUCAGAAGCUUGCUCCUCAGCAAAUUGUCAUCCAUGCAUCCUGAAGCAGUCCUAUAGCCCAAGUUGCAAUAGCUCCCACUCCAAUGAGUGCACUACCACAAGGUGUCAAUGCUCAAUUUCAGCCCCAGCCACCAGUUGACAAGACAGAGGCCAGUAUCAGUGUUGUACCUUUGGAUGUUCCAGGACAACAGCCAAGAAAUCAAGUACAAGAUGAAGAACCUGAGAGUAAGAAAGUUAUUGUUUGUUACAACUGCAAAGAACCAGGGCAUUACUCCAGGGACUGUCCCUAACCAAGGAAAAAAAUCGGCCUCCACAUUUUCGCCAAUUUACAAGAAACAGACAUGCCAAUCGCCAAGUGGUCACUGGAGAAAAUGCAGUACCUGUCAAGCCUAGUGCUAGUCAGAAGCAACCAUAACACUCUUGUAUCGAUGUUCAAGUACUUUUGUUUUAUAGUUGUUCUCUACCAACCGUGUAAUAAGGAAGAAACGGGAAAUAAUCAAUGAGUUUGGCAAAUGUAUGAAGGAUCCAUAUUGAGACUGCAAGUGUUGUGAGUUGUGUACAUUUUGUUGAUGAUUAAGGAGACCUAGGGUCUUAUUUCCGUAAGCUCAUAAUCUGUUAUGAAUCAAAUAACCUAGCGAUUGAUGGCGAAGAAAAUCAAGUGAUCAACCAAAGAGACAUUUGUUUGGACUAAGAGUUUCCGAUGUGUCCUUUUUCGGAUCAAAGGCAACGACAGUCAGUAUAGCUUUUGACGAACUACUUCAAGGUUUCUCUGAAAGGCAGCAGGCCCAAGGACUGCAUUGCCCCAGAAGCACCCACAACACCCGGAGUGAAGAGUACCUGGUUGAGAAAGGUCAAAAGGUGAUUGAUGGAAGAGAUCGGAAAAGAUGUUUGGUUGCUAGGAAAAUGUCACGUCCCAAAACGACUCUAAAAUAUAUCCUUUAAAUUAUGCCUAGAAUAAUUAAAAUCCGUGUGAAAGCCUCUAACAAUUAAAAUGUGCAAAGUUAAAAGUCAAAUAAGGCUUAGAAGAUUUUUGUAUAUUUCCUAAAAGCCUAAAAUGUGUAAAUAAAUUUUAGUGGAAUUUUCAUAGCACAAAUAAUAAUUGUUAAGAAAUAAACAAAGUUGAAAAAGUUUUAUAAAAAGAAAAACCCUUAAAGUCCCCCUUCCCUCCCUUGGGCCGGCCCGGCCCAUCUCUCCUUCCCCCCCUCUCUCUCUCCUCUCCCCGCGGCCCACUCGGCCUCUCCCCGCGCGCGCGCCGCUGACGGGCCGGCCCGCCCACCACCCUCGCUGACGGGUAGGGCCCACCCGUCAUCCCCGACCUCCCGCCGCUCCCGCCGCUCCGCCCGCGCCCUAGCGCCGCCGCCGCCGCGAAUCCCGCCGCCUCCCGUCGUCCCCACGUGCAAUAAAGUGGGAGGAAUCACUCAACGUGAUCCCCUCUCCCUUUCCCCCCAUUUUUUCCCUCUCUCUCUUGCGUUCAAACGGGCGGAUUUGCCCCCGCAAAUCUCGCCGGCGCCAUUGAUGGCGGCCGACCUCCCGCGCCGGUUUCCUUCCUCCCCAGUCGCUCUCUCCCCCUUCCAACCCUAUUUAAACCCUCCCCGCACCUCCUCCGUCCAUUUCCGCCGUCGCCGCCCUUCCUCCUCGCCGGAUUCGAGCUCGCGACGUCGCUCUCUCUCUCCGCCAUCGCCGCCGAGCUCCGGUCCGCCGCCGUCGUCGCCCCGGACCGCCUCCCACCUCGGCGCCGCCUCCUUCGGCUUCGCCGCAUCCUCGCCGACCUCGUCCACCCCUCCGUUUCGGUCGCCGACCGCCGGAGCGCCGCCGUCCCCGUCGACCCGAGCCACGCCACCGCCUCCCUCCGCUCCGGCCGCCUCCUCCGUCACCGCCGUCGCCUCGGGGUGAGCCGUGGACCGUCGCCUCCUUUCCCCCUUCCCUCUCCUCUCUCGGCCGCCGCUCCGCCGCGCCGGUGGUUGCCGGCGGCGACCAUCGGGGCGCGGGGGUGCCGCCUCCCGCCGACCGCGCCGGCUUGGCCGCCCUCGGGCGCGCCGAGUGGCUGCCGCGUGGGGCCCGGCCGUCAGCCGCCCGCGCCCUCGGGUGCGGCUGACGUGUGGGGCCCACGGCGCCGGCCGGUGUGAGCCCGGGUGCACCAGGUCCACCGUGGUCCGUGAGGCUGCCGCGUGGGCCCCACUCCCGUGGACCUAGUCCGCACGCCCCUCCCCCUCGGCUGACGCAAUAAACCCUUUUUAAAUUAAAAUUUAAAUGAAGAAAUUCGCAAAUAUUCAUUUAAAGAGCAUAUAAACUUCAAAUGGCCAUAACUUGGCCAUUUCAACUCGGAAUUGGACCGUUCAAGUCUCUAAUUUUUCCUUAAGAAGUCAAGAACCCAUUUUUGUGCUUUGUUCCUGCUUGUUAUAUGGAGUUUAUUAGAGUAAAAGCCUUUUCUUUUCCGUUGGUCGUGGAGACGCUGCAGCUUCGGAAGAUCCGCUCUUCGUGGAGGUUAAAGCCGACGUUUGGGAAAGCGAGCAAGGCAAGUCACAUCAUCCUUGAACAUAUUGGAUCCCAUUUUACAAAAUUCUUUUGAUUUAAAUUAUUGCAUUAUCGCUUUACUUAAAUUCCCGCGUUAUCACUGUUUUAUUUAGCCAUGCCUAUUUACCUUUGUUAUGACCUUAUUAUUAUUGUCAUUGAUAUUAUUACCUUGUUCACCCUAGAUUAAACAAAACCCCAACUAGUGGACACUCUACUCAUGGUACCACUAGUAUGAAUUUAGGUAGAUGCUUCACUGAUUAAUUAGGCAACAUUAGGGGGUUUUAUAACUCUAGACUUUGGGAUAUUCAUAUCACCUGGACACUAUGGAAUGGUUGGAUUAUUGUGGAAUUGGAUUCACACCUCCCCCUCUAUUCAAAAUCCUCAAAAUGGUUUUCGGACGGGCUCGGGGUGCAUUGUUUUGAUAGUAGCACCUCGGCCAUAUAAGGACCGGUCUUCGGGCCUCUGUUGCAAAGCACUACUGUACUUCCACAUGUCUCGUAGGUAAGGCUUAGUUUGUGGCUCAGUCUGGUUAUAAACAAAAGUACACGGAUGGAGAUGGACGAAGUCGGGGGUCGAUGGACAUCUCUAGGGCAAAUGAAGGCUACACGAGCUGCGGCUUGGUAGUCGAGAUGUCAUGGCACAGGGCUGGUGUCCUGCUGCUAGGGGCUCAGUCCUGCCUACCUGUCCCGGUGGUUCCGGCCGUAGGCGGGGUUGGGUCGGUACUCUUGUCUAUGGCUAGGAUGGGUUGGAAACUAUGUCACGUCUUCCGUCCGUAUACCGUGGUGGUAUGUGGCACGUGGUUACACGUGAGAAAGAUGUGUCUUGUGGGUAAAGAUGUACACCUCUGAUCAGAGUAUAAUUUAUUCGAAUAGCCGCGCCCUCGGUUAUGGGCAAGCCGAGCAAUGUACCCAAGUUAGUGUUUUAAUUCUUAAAACCUGCUUAACAACUAAAAUAUGGAACGGUUGGCCUGGGUUGGCUUGGGACGAGCUGGGACCCAGGGUCGGGUUGCCAGUUCGGUCUGAAUCAUCGUAGGCCUUGGGUUAAGGCAGGUUCGUGUGGGUUCACGGCCUCGAUUAAUAACAUUGUAUAGCUCUAGGAUCGUAUUUACAAAAUAGCUUUGGGCAACUAAGUGUCUUUUAAUGCUGUUUACUGCAAACCCUAGCCCUUAUAUUAUAACCCCCUUGUACUCCCUUGCAUUUAUUCUGCACUUAUGGGUGUGUCUUGUUGAGUACGGUGGUUGUACUCAGUCUUGCUCAAUUUUUUCCCAAACCCAGAAGAGGAGUUCCUGGAAGAUGAAGGCUUUGGUGUCUAGCUCGUGCCUGCCGUCAAGCGCCUGUGGUCGUCGCCCUAGUCUUCCGCUAUUUCCCGUUUGUCUUUGUGUGUGCUGGGCCUUCGCCGCCCAUGUAAUAAAUUAAUUAUUUACGCUUCCGCUUGGUAAACUCUGAAAUGUAUCAACUUUUGGUGUACCUUGCCUCCUGGGACAAGGAAUAAUACACGCACGUAAGGAACGCCCGUUGGGUUAUUUCUGGUCGUGACAGAAAAGAAUUAGGUCGAAAGGUGAUUGAUAAAGGAUAACGAGGAACAUGAUUUGUGUCACUCGAGGAAGACUCCCGAUAGCAAUUAACCCUACAACUGUCACCAUGUCAUUUAAGCAGAAGAAUUCGCGAGUAAGCAAGAUGACCAUAGGUAGAAGUGAUUCUAUGAGGACAAGGAUGGAAACUUUUGUGACAUGACCAAGAAGUCAAGAAGUUAACCUGAACAGCUAGAAACUAAAGCUCGGUUCAACCUUGGGCUGUGUAUCAGAUGCUACCAGAGUAAAAGCAAUUGCACUAGUAUCGUUCAACGCACUUUCCUAGCGAUUGAUCCAUCUGGAAAGAACACAUCAAGGAUGAAGGUGUAAAGGAAUAUGUUGAAUGCUAAAUGACGACAAUAUGAAGAGAAUAGUGGAAAGUAAACCGAUUGUAAAGAAAGUGAAUCCGAGAUGUCUGUUCGUGGGAGCUAUUCCCAGUUAUGAACCAAGUGAUAUGUUCAAGGAUAAUCUACAGAGGUCAGAUUAAAAUCACAUCCAAUAAAGAAGCUUCAGAUUUGGCAGGAUAACGAUCAGACAAUAACAAGUCUAGCAGUAAAGUUAUUUGGGAAGACGUCAAAGCAUGUCAAGUGGGAUAAGUUGGUUCUCGUGGGAAGCAUAAUUCAAAGUUAGAGUGAUCGACCCUCGCAUUGAAUAGCGUUAGUAUCUAGCACCCGGAGACUAGGAAAGCUAAUAUGAGGCAGUUAGUGGCAAGUUGUCAAUCAUGGUAUCCUUGGUAAGCGGGAUAUCAUAGUCUAAAGCAUUUGGUGGUAAGUUGGAAGGAAACGCCAAGCAUGGUAUUCUCAUGAUGACAAGCUGGUAAUGACAAGCAUGGUAUCCCAGUAAUGACAAGUUGGUAUCGACGCAUAACGUGAAGUUGGUAACUUGUAUGAGAUUGACACCAAGGGUAUGAAUUAUGAGAAGUCCCGGAACUGAAGCCCCGUCUUCAAGUGCCGCAUCCCAGUCGAAGUCAGCUCAAGGUGCAACCAGGGACAAGCCAGGUGAAACGAAGAUUCCAUCUGCAACAGGAGAUCAAGCCAAGCAGUUCAGAGUGGGGAAGUUUUGCUGGGCAAGUUUGUUAAAGAAAACGCAAUGGAAGAAGUCGGACCAGAAGAGAAGACCGCCCAACCUAUCUUCUUGCUAGCCUUCUCGAAUCUCGGGGGCGAGAUUCCUGUAAGGGGGUGGAUUUGUCACGUCCUGAUAAAUUCAUCCCGAAAUAAAAAUCAUUUUCUAAAAGGAAUAAUAUAAUUAAUUAAAAUUCGAAUAGAAAUUGGCAAACAUUAAAAUGCGUACAAGAAAAAUUCGAAUGUGGCCCGGAGAAUUUUUGUUAAAUUCCCCUUGGUCUAAAAUGAUCCCUCAAAUUUUACUUGAAUUUCCAGAGCACCGGAUAUAAUUAUUACGCAACAACAACAAUUAAGAAAGUUUAUUAAAAAGGAAACUAAAAAUAAUCCUCCUUUUCCUUUGGGCCAAGUCCAGCCCAAAGUUCCUUUCCUCUCUCCCUCGGCCCGCGGCCGAAGUAUCACUUCCCUCCCUCUCUUUUUCCUCCCCUCUCUCUCCCUGGCCUCCCCUCCUCCUCCCGGGCCACCUCUUCCCUCCUCUUCCGCUUGGGCCGCCCCUGCCCUAUCCCGGCCUAGCCGACCAGCCGCCUCCCUCCUUUCCCUCGCGCCCCUCUGCACGCGCGGCGCAUGUGCGCGCCUCACGCCUGACCGGUGGGUCCACCCACCCUGUCGUCUUCAACCUCCAGCCGGCCGCUCCUCUCUAUCACUCUCCCGAACCCUAGCGCCACCAUCCUUCGAUCCCGCUCCACUGCGCAAGUUCCGGCCAAAUAAAUUGCAAAAACGGAAUCCCCAUCCCUUCCUCAUUAUUUCCCCCAACUUUCCCCCUUUAAUCCCGCCCCCAAUCACCGGGAUUUAAUCCCUCUUCUUUGACCGCCAUUGAUGCCGCCGGCCACGUUCUCCGGCGUCGUUCCUGUCCCCUCCUGUGGUCGGCACUCCCCUCCAUUGCCUAAAAAACGGAGCCCUAGUCCCCCUCUCCUUCGGUUUUCCCCCUUCCCGAGCUCCCUAGCCACACCGUCGCUGACCUCCUCUCUCUCCUACGCUGCCGGCCAACUCCAGCCGCCCUGCCGCCGCGUCAGCACGCCGGCCGGCCGUGCCGUCGCCUCCCCCGGUGUCGCAGUCGCCUCCCCUUCCCCGGCAUGCUCUCCGUUUCCCGCGGAGACCUCCAGAAGUGCAUCCCCGCCGGCAACAAUGGCGUUGCCGCCACUGUUCCGCCUUCGGCCGCCUCUGUCGCGUCUCUUGUGCGCCGGCCGACGUCGCCACCACCUCUCCCAGCACCGAAACGCCGUCCUCUUCCCCGUCCAGGCCAUGGCGUCGCCCGUAUUUCACCGGAACACCGUCGUGCCGCGCCGGCCUCUCCAUCCGCCUCGCCGGAAUUUCCCUGGUCUGCCCUUCCUCCUCCUGUGUGUUGUCGGCCACGCCACCACCACCUCCGGCAUCGCAGCGGCGAGCCGGCAACGUCAUCCUCGGCAUCGCCUCCCCUCCAUCCGAACCCCACCGCUGGUGUCCGUCAUCGUCUUCACCGUUCAUCCUCGCCGGCUCGUCGUCCCGCGGUGCCGCCUCCAUCGUCAUCAUCGCAGCGGCGUGUUCCGCACCGUCCUCGCAUUCGUGCAGCUGCUGCCGACUGCCCUCAUCGCCUCCUCGCCGGUUCCGGUUGUCGUCCUCCCGUCGUUCUCGGUCGUCGUGGCGUUCGUCCCUCUGUCAAGCCGCGUUCGUUCGUCGCCCGUGUUUCGUCAAGUCUGUUGCAGCCUCGUCGUUGUCUUCGUCCUCGGCUCCGCAUCGUCAAGCCCUGAGUCAGCCUCGUCCUGCCUUCGUCCAAGGAUCGCCGCUGAAGUGUCGUCCGUUCGUCUCCGUCGUUCUCGUCCGUCUCCACCGCGCCGUUCGUCGUCGCCGUUCCCACGCCUCGUCGCGUGGUGGUAAGGAUCCGUCCUCUCACUGCCCCGUCCUCGUCCUUUCGGAGUCGCCCCAUGCCCGUUGUGUGUUUGUCGACCCCGGUACCCGUGUACCAGUGUCGGUAGUCGUUCGUGGGUGCGUGUGGUGACCGUGUUUGUGUGUCCGCUCGGUAGCUGUCACGCCCAGAAAUUCACAAGUAAUUUCUGAACUAAUUUGUGCAUUAAAAACCCUCAUCCAGGAAUUAGCCGAGAUACAGAAACUGACAAUUUAAUAUACAGAUUCAUCAAAAUAACUAAAGCGAUAAAUACUUACAUAAGAGGCACUUAGUCCUCACCAUGAAGAAAAUUGCAGCGGAAAAUAAAAUCUAGAGAAGCUUCAGCUCCCACAGGCAGCUCAACUGGGAUAUAAGCCAAAGGUCUUCUCCUUCUGGAUCAUUUUUCUUCAACUGAAGUUUGAUGAUUAUUGCAAGGUGAGUACAUGCAAUACUCCGCAAGCCACACAGGAAUUAUGCAAGUGCACAAGGAUACCAAAGGAUGGCAUAAUAUAGGGUUUAUUUGUGAAAGCAACAUUUAGCAAAGAUUUAAGAGUAGUAAAAUAGUAGAGUAAUUAAUCAUCAAUAUUAAUCAACACUGAACAACACACCCAUGCUGCACAGGCCCAACCAAACCUGAACAACCAACCCUGGUUGUACAGAUCAAACCUCCAAACCAGGAAUUAUCCAUUCCAAACUGGGAGUCAAAUUAAUUAUCACAUUGUUAUCAUUAAUGAGUAGUGUGGAACUAAUCACGAAAAAUAUUGUUAGACCCGCCCAUAACCGUGGGCAUGGCUAUUCGAAUAGUUUUACUCUGGCCAGAGGUGUACCACUAUACCCACAAGACACGAUUCCACACAUGUUGCCAUGCCCCGAAGUACCACCACGGCACUGCAAAGGGGGAAAUCGUGACAAUACCCUUCGCACAACACAACUCACCACAGUGCACCAUUCCUGGAUCAUAAUCACCCCCUCAAAAACAAGAGGCAUGGACUCCCCAGUGACCCCCACAGACUUCUCGCCGCUUCUCAGUCUGGCACCCUGUAAUGAACCAUGCUAUACAAAAGAUAAAGUCGUUGCCCACGUUGGCUUGUGGUUAGCACGGUUAAUGUUUCACAACAGUAGCUCACGAACCGGUCCUUAAUUGUCAUGAGCACGACCUUCAAAACCAUGUACUCACAACCAACCAUUAAUCAUAUUUUAAUUAUCAAUUAAUUAUCAUAACACGAUUGACCAUCGUGAGCUACCAUUAACUAUAACCAUAAGUAAUAGUGAAGCAUGAUUUAUCCCAUUAAUGAGCUAAUGUUUCUAAGCAUGACUAAGCAACUGUCAUAAGCAUCUAGCUGAACCAAACCAAUAUAUAAGGUUCAAGCUAAUCAAUUUAUUACCCAUAGGAAAAUAAAGUCAUAUUCGGCCAUAAUUAAUUGGGAAAGGCUCACUACCCGAUGACAUUCGAAAACAAUGCAUAAGUUAAAAUAAAACAAUAGCUUUAAACAGGUUCAACAUGCUCAAAGGGUUGUGUGGGAUCUGUGUGACUUGCCUUGCGAACAAGCGUCUUCGAUUCGUCUUCAGGAACUUCUCCAACGAACGAACGAUCCUCCGAAACAACGGAAAACUAAAUCUAGAACGCAAAACGAGAAAAAACACUAAUAAGACCAAAUGAACAGUACAAUUAAAGUUCAUAAAAAGGUAGAGCUUGAAUUUACAUGAAUUAUGAGACUUGAACGACCUUAUUCCGAGUUCGUAUGAAUUAGUUAUGAAUUUUACAAGACUUAAUAUAAUUUAGCCUUAUACAGAAAAGGAAUUACGAUUUAUUUGGAAAGGAAUAACAGCCGCUGACGUCAGCGAUGACAUCAUCGCCGGCAACACACUGGACCACAAGGUUGCAGGCACUAGGAAGCUCGGCCGGGCUAUCCGAGAACACCAACGCGGAGAGGACGACGAGACGCCCUCACCGAGGUCGGCACGACCACGGACGACGAUGGGAGAUGGCCGGCGACGAGAUUGAGGCGGCGGCGUGGCUGUGUCCACGGUGACUGUGGCGUUUCGGCGAGGGGAGGCAGCAACCGAGGGGCGGACGGUCUUCACCUCGCUCCUGCGAUCCCGAGGGUAGCGACGGCGAGCGAAGGCGGCGAUGGACGGCGACGAGCGGCACGGCUGAAAACGAGUCGACGGAAGAUUGCCUCGGGUUGACAGCGACGACGAAGCUCCGAUGGUUUGCAGCGGUGGCGAAGGGGUGGACAGGCUUCGGCUUGGCGUUGCGAUGCCGACGACAGCCUCGGGGAGGUCCGGCUACCACGGGAGAAGCGGCAAAGCUUCGCCGGAGAUCAAAACAUGGCGAUGGUUCGGCCUUCACAGUGACGGCGAAUUCCGGCGGGGUUCGGCGCAAAAGAACGGGUGGCCGGGGUAGCUCUCACCCUUGCGAAGCCGAUGGAAGUGGCGGCGCAAGUCGGCGACGACCAGAGAAGCGGAAGACGGCGGCUGGAAUUGGUGGCGGCGGUGGAGAGAGAAGGUAAGCGUGGCGGCGGCUCUAGGGCUAGGGAAAAAAAUCGGGAAAAAGGAGGAAACGGAAGAGGAGGCCGAGGGGCUGCUAUUUAUAGCCAAAGGAGGAGGAGAUCGGCUCGGAUACAGGAAGAAUCGGCGACGGAUUAGUUAGGGUUCGCCGGAAAAAUGGAGCUCGAAACCGCGUCGAAUUCACGCGAUAUACAACGGUAUUCAAAGGGGUUUCUUAGGGAUAAGGUAGAGGAGAUCGAGGGGACUCCGUUUUUACAACCAAUUUUGGAAACUUGCUCUGUCCGGAGGUAGAAGAUGGUACUGUAGCGAGGGGACGUAAAACAGACUUCUUGCCGGGCUUUUUUUUCUCGGCUUGAUUAGAAGAGGGACCAAAACUGGACUUCCGCUAAAUAAGAGAAAGAGGAAGAGAGGGCUGCUGCGGGCUAAGGAAGAGAGAGAGGAGAGGAGUGGGCUGAAUUCGGCCCAGACUGAGGAAGAGAAUUUAAUUAACUUUUUAUAAUUUAAAUAAUUGCUGAAAUGAUGUUUCAUUUAUUAAAAAUACUUCCAAUGCUCAAAUAAAUCCAAGAAAAAUCCCGAAAAUACUUGGGCACAUAAAGUAUUUAAUGAAAUUUUAUCUAGCUCAAGUUUAAGUUCAAAUUUCUUAUAGAUUUUAUUCCCACACUUACUUUGAUUAUUAAGUAAUUUCUAAAAAUUCCUUUUUCACAACGAUUUAUAAUUUAGCGAUUUUCAGGGUGUGACAGUAGCCGCGUGGUUUCCACGUGUGCAGCCCGCGUGGUGUCCAGUGGAGUCCGUUUGUCGGCUACUCGGCUCGGUUGGCACACGGGGUCUGCUUCCGUCGACCCGUGGACCGUCUCUGUAUACUUGGUCUACCGUGGUCCAUUAGGUUGACAUGCGGGGUCCGCAUGUCAACAGCGCAGCCUUCCUGUAUUUUCCAGGCUAGCGCUUGCACAUGUUUUAUAAUUGCAAAACCUAAUCAUAAUAAUCCGUAAAUCUCCAUAUAACAGCAUUAAACUUCGGAUGAUCAUAUCUUGAUCAUACGAACCCCGAAUCGACCCGUUCAAGUCUCCUAAUGUUUGUUAUAACCUAAAGAACCGUGUUCUUUCUUUUUAUGUAUUAUUAUUGCUUCUUUAUAGGGUUGUAGCUUUGCUUGUGUGUUUCGCGUAGCUUCUGUCGUUCCGGAGGUUUCGGAAGCGUAGUUCGUGGUCGUCGCCGAAGGUUCGGAAGGCCGUUCUCUCUGAGCAAGGCAAGUCACAUCAUCCUUGAGCAUAUUGAAUCCCAGUUUUUAAAAUUAUUUUAAUUUAAAUUAUUGCAUUACCGUUUUAUUUAAAUUACCGCGUUAUCACUGUUUUAUUUAGCACUUCCUACUAAUCCUUGUUACAGCCUUAUCAUUGCAAUUGUUAUUAUCACCUCGUUCACCCUAGGAAAACAAAACCCCAACUGGUGGGUACUCUAUUCAUGGUUCCACUAGUAUGAAUUUAGGUAGAUGCUUCGCUGAUUAAUUAGGCAACAUUAGGUGGUUUUAUAACUUUAGACUUUGGGAGUUCUCAUGUCAUUUAGACAUUAUGGAAUGGUUGGCUUGUGAUGGAAUUGAACACACACCUCCCCCACUAUUCAAAACUCCCAAAAUGGUUUUAGGUUGGGCUCGAGGUGCAUGGUUCUGCUAGCAGCACCUUGGCCACUAUAAGGACCGGUCUUCGGGCCUCUAUUGCAAAGCACUACCAUCUAACCACAUGUCUAAUGGGUAAGGCUUAACUCGGUGCUCAGUCUAGUCCUGGCAAGAGUACACGGAUGGAGAUGGACAAAGUCGGGGCUCAAUGGACAUCUCUAGGGCAAAUGAAGGCUACACGGGCUACGGCGUGGUAGUCGAGAUGUCAUGGCACAGGGCCAGUGUUCUGCUGCUAGGGGCUCAAUCCUGCCUACCUGUCUCGGGGGUUCCGGCCGUAGUCGGGGUUGGGUCGGUGCUUUUGUCAUGGCUAGGAUAGGUAAAGGGGUUAAGUCACAUCCUUUAUGACGGGUUCCACGGCCGUGGAAUACGGAGUAAAGAUGUGUCUUGUAGGUAAAGAUGUACACCUCUGAUCAGAGUAUAAUCUAUUGAAUAGCCGCGCCCUCGGAUAUGGGUAAGCCUAGCAAUGUACCCAAGUUGGUGGUUUAAUUUUUAAAACUUGCUUAACAACUAAAAUGUGGAAUGGUUGGCAUGGGUUGGCUUGGGACGAGUUGGGACCUGGGUCUGGUUGCCAGUUCGGUCUGAAUCAUCGUAGGCCUUGGGUUAAGGCAGGUUCGUGUGGAUUCACGGCCUUGAUUAAUAAUAUUGUGUAGCUAUAGGAUCGUGUUUACAAAAUAGCUUUGGACAACUAAGUGACUUUUAAAUGCUGUUUACUGCAAAACCUAACCCCUAUUAUUAUCCCCUUGUACCCCCUUACAUUAAUCAUGCAUCUCCCGAUGUGGCUUGCUGAGUACUGUGGUUGUACUCAUUCUUGCUAUAUCUUUCCCCCCCUUCAGUAAUAGAAGCUUUGGAGAAGAAGUCCUAGGUGGAGUCCUGGCUUAUACCCCAGUUGAGCACCUGUGAAGAUGGAGCCGCAGGCCCGCUUGUCCGCUGCUGUUUAUUUUUGUUUGUCAAGCCUGAAGUGCCUUUGUAAUAAUGUAAAUAUUAUCGAUAUAAUAAAGAUGUGCCUUUUGUAUCCUGUUUAUGUGGUGUACCCCGGCUUUUCAUGGGACGGGGAUUAAUACACUAGCGUUCUGGAAAAGGUAUUUUUCCGGGCGCGAUAGUCACUUCUCUCCCCGAGCAAAACCCUAGCCGUGCGCGGGUGCUAGCACAUCUGCGCGUGGCGUUCCGUCCAUGUACGUGUGGAUACCGGUAGAGGCGGCGCUGGUUUGCGGUGCUGAUUGGCUUGGGAGUACGGCGAGGAGAACGCACGAGGAGGAGAAGGUCAAGCUGGUGCGAUUGACUACUUCCUCUACAUCGACGCGCGCUACUUCGCAAGAGUUCCUUCGACUUCUUAGCGUCUUCUUCAACUGCGCAGCGCGUCGAGUGGUAACUAUCUAUGAUCUAAUACUUGCAUGGUUCCUGGUUUACGUGAUAGAAAAUUUAAUUUAUGCUAUCGUAGCCUACGCGUAUCCCAACCGAGGGGACCCUCAUCGGAGGCGCUACACCUCGGCCACCUCAUCCCCUUCAUGUUCACAAAAUAAGCAUUGCUCCCAGUCCCGGAUACAAGUGAACUGAAAUCAUUUGUCAACUAGUAUUUAUUAACAAUCAAGAUAUCUCUUGUCAGGUGCUCCCUCCAUCCACAAAAGUUACACCUAUUUCACAUUUGAGUUUUUUCCAAAUAAGUUGUUUCUAUUUGUAGUCUUUAUGCAUUCAAGACUUAAAUGAAGAGAUAAAUUAAAUGUUUUAUUAGAACCCAAGGAGUCAUCUAAAUACUCAUUGGUUGCAUGUUUACAUUCACUCUUUGAUCUUGUAACAUCCAAGGUGAUUUAAUUUCUUCUUGGUCUUGGUGAGGGAGUACUUGCAGGAUGCUUUCAAGGUGCCGCAGGUGAUACAGCUAACUGACGAUGAAAAGUUUAUGUGGAAGAACUUGACUAUUGCCGAAUGUAAAAGGCUUGCCCAUGAAAAUGCCAAAGACAUUAUCACCUGUGGAUUUGACAUUGAAAAAACUUUCAUUUUUACAGAUUUCAGUUAUGUUGGAGGGUAAGAUUACUAGUACUCCCUCCGUUUCACGAUGUAAGUCAUUCUACCAUUUUUCACAUUCAUAUUGUUAAUGAAUAUAUAUAUAUAUAUAUAUGUAUAUAUAUAUAUAUAUGUGAACAUAUAUAUAUAUAUAUAUAUAUACACAUAUAUAUAUAUAUAUAUAUGUAUAGAAUCGUUAAUAUCGAUAUGAAUAUGGGGAAUGCUGGAAUGACUUUAUUGUGAAAUGGAGGAAGUACUUCCUAACUGUCGAUUAAAAUAUAAAUGUCUGGCUGGUCUUUUUUUUUUCACUCAGCUAGCUUCUAUUCUAUGAUAAAGUAGUAACCCUCUAUCUUUUUUUACAGGGCAUUUUAUGAAAGGGGCAAUUGUGUUUUUGCCCUUGCUUUACGAUUCAAUUGUGAUUUUACCCCUGUUUUUUAGGGUUUGUGAUUUUGCCCCUGUUUUUUUAAAUGAAGGAGCCGUCUGCCCCAGUUUUGACAGAAGUUUGGUGGGUCCGGAAUUUCAGAAUUAAACAAAGAUAGAAAAUGUUAUUAUCAUUUAUGAAUGACCAUUCUACCCUUGGUUCAAUAAAAGAGCCAAAUCCCCAAUCCCUUACUGUCCCGAUUUUCACUCCAAAACCCUAGCUGGGUUGCAAGCGGCGGCGGCGACGCGCGGCCAGCGGGCGGCAUGGAGGAGUGGCGGUGGGGCCAGCUGCCGCGGAACAGCGCGCGGCGGAGUCGGGGCGCGGGCAGGGAGGCGCUGCGGCAGCGCAUGGAGGCGCGGCGUGGCGGCCUCGCGGGUGCACGCGCAGGGAGGCGCGGCGGCCGGCGGCCCCGUGGCCAGCGCGGCGGCGGAGAGGAGCGGCGGCUCCGUCGGCCAGCGAGCCAGCGAGCAGCGAGCAGGUAGCUUGGCGGCGGGAUGGCGCUGUUAAAGGAUGUAGGCAGGCACGGCGGCGUCCUCGGUCUGGAGCGCAGGCUGGGGAAUCAGGGAGGCGCGACUUGCCGCCGGCGGGCUGGCGCUCCUAACCUCUUGCCGGCGCAGGGACGGAGGCCUAACGCUAUUGCAAAUACAGGAUUAGGAGACAUAAUGGAGUAAAUCUUGUGCAUGGUGGAAAUCUGCUGCAAAUCCCCUGUUUUCUUUCCCAUUUUCAUGUCUUGUAUCUGCGAGAGAUUUGUUUGGUGAAUGGUGAUUUCUUCCUGGUAAAUGUGAUGAAUCUUUUUGGUGAAUUUUUGCACCCGAUGCAAGUUCUUUGAAAAUGCUGCAGAAAUGAUGUUAAAUUCUUCCAAAAUUUGUCAAAGUUUGGUCAAAUUCGAAAUAUAUGCACAUUAUAUCAAGAAAGGAGAGGCAAAUGUGUAAAGGGUAUACAAGUCCUUCUACUGCUAAGUUGACGCUGUUAAGUGAUGCUAACAGAAUAGGGGCAAAACAGGGACAGAACAGAGCUUCGUUUCAAAAAAGUGAGGGAAAAAUCACAAACCCUAAAAAGUUAGGGUAAAAUCACAAUUGCAACUCAAAGUGAGGACAAGAACAUAAUUGCCCCUACUAAAUAUGCUUGAAGUUUCCAACCGUGUGACAUAUAACAAUGUGAGAACUAUUCUAUUAAGAUUGUUCUCUGCUCUUGGUGUUCUUGCUUAAAUAUUUGUGAACACCAUGGAGAUUCAUUACUUAUCUUUAAGCGUCAUGUUUUCUAAUACUCUUACUCUUGGAUGACAGCUUAAAGGGAUAUUUGGAAUUAGUCCGGAAGAUCAAAUUGGCAAGGUCAGCUUUCCUCCUGUGCAGGCUGCUCAAUCAUUCUCAUCAUCGUUUCCACAUCUCUUUCAUGACAAUGAUGACCAUCUGCCGUGCCUUAUCCCAUGUGCUAUAGACCAGGUAUGAUAUCUCUGGUCUGAUUAUCUCGACAGUACAACAUAAUUGCUUUUGUAUCUACUUGCUAGUAUACUGAUAAUAUAUAGAUUUUUCAGCACAAAAUUUGGACUUAGUUUGUUUCUUCUUGUUCUUUUCCAUCUCUAAAUUUGAAUUUGACCCACUCCCAUACGCAAAAGCCAAGUUUAGAGCCUUGACUUGUAAACAUUUGCAUUUAAAGAUACCAAAAUGUUCUACAUGUUUGUAUAUAGCCGUAUCAUCCAUGCAUCGAAUAUGACUGUCAACAUUCGGAAAUAUCAAUCAUUAAUGUUGGAAAUAACCCAACUAGCGUUAUACCACAUGUAAUAAACCAGUAAAAAGAACUUCCACGCAAGGUGGUGUCUGAGAAAGGGAAUUUCUAGGCAGCCUGCCCUUAUCUGACAUAAUUGGUUGUAUAUCUUCUUAUUGGCAUUAAAAUAUGUAGAGAGAUUUAUCUGGCAGCUCUAAAUUUGUACUGAGUGCUUGUCAAGUAAAUAUUUUUCCAAUACUUGAUUUAGUGAUCUACUAUCAUGAAAGCAUAUCCGAUAUUUCUCAUUAAAGGUACUGGAGUGUUGGUACAUAUAUGUAUUUAGUUUGGCAUAUUUUGAGUUGCCUAUUUAAUCUUAAUUUAUAUUUAUGCAGGAUCCUUAUUUUAGGAUGACUUGUGAUGUUGCUCCCAAACUUGGUUUUCAGAAACCUUCACUGAUUGAGUCAAGAUUUUUCCCUGCACUUCAGGUAUUUCUUUUAGGGAGAGCUUGGAUGUAGGACUGAACAUUAGAGCUGGUGCAAUUUGACGACUUGUAAUUAACUUGCUCAGAAUUUUUUUUGGUUUUACUUCGAAUAAUCAUAAUUUCACGUGCAUUACUUUAUGUCGAUUGCUUGAUUUCCUUUUAACAGGGGGAGAGCACUAAAAUGUCGGCCAGUGACCCAAACUCUGCAAUAUAUGUGACAGAUAAUUCUAAACAAAUAAAGGCAAAGGUUUCAUCUGGAAUAUUUACUCAAUCACACGCUUUAGUUCGGCCAUUUAAAUUAUGGUAUCUUGUAGUUCUAUUAUUUCAUAGGCUUAUAAAAGCUAUUUCCAUUAUUUUCCAGGUGAAUAAAUAUGCUUUCUCAGGUGGCCAGGACACCGUGGAGCUCCAUAGGGAACUUGGUGCUAAUCUUGAUGUAAGCUCUUUCCCAAGUAUUGACCACUACUGAACACCAAACUACUAUGCUAGAAUUAUGCACUGUAUUCUGAGUUUUGCUUAGAAAACAGAAGUUAGAUUUAAGAAUCAACACGAUACUCGAAUUUGAAUGAUCAGCAGAAGCUACCAAUUCUAAUGCAUGUAGUUAGAAGCCCUUUGUGUUUCUUGAAGAAGCCUUCUAUGUCCACAUUUCAGUGCUAAUAUGCUGAAUAUUGUGAUCUUCAUUUCUAUAAUCUGCCUGUAAUAUUCCAGUUAAUUCCUGUAUUUCUAAAGAAACACCAAAGUGAUCUGUGAAUUCUUGUGUUGUUCAGGUGGAUGUCUCAAUCAAGUACCUAAACUUCUUCCUACAAGACGAUGAUGAGCUUGAGCACAUAAAGAAGGUGCAUUUCUUAUUGUGGAAAACUAAGUUGCACUACCAUUAUAUAUGAAACUCAUUAUCCAUUAUAAAAUUUAUUUCCCAAUACCAGGAGUACAAGGCAGGAAGGAUGUUAACUGGCGAAGUGAAGCAACGACUCAUCGAAGUUCUAUCUGAGCUGGUUGCUAGACAUCAGAGGGCUAGAGCUCAAGUGACUGAGGAGGUAAUGAAAAUAAUUCAUGUUUUGUUUGAUCUUGUCAUGCUUUACAAUUGGGUUGGUUGCAAGUUCUAAUUCUUGUUUCUAUUGUACACACACAUACAUCCGUAUGCAAAGAUUAUAACCAAGUAUUCUGAACGGGACACAUACAAAUUUCCUUGUUUGUGUAGAUGGUUGAUGCUUUCAUGGCAAUAAGGCCUCUUCCCAACAUGUUUGGCUGAGCAUCAAGACAAGAAGAGCAUGACAUUUUCGUUGAUCAGCACAUGUGUGUCCCCCUGGUUUACUUGUUGCUGGACUCUUGUGAACAUAAUGACAAAAAGACAAGAAGUCCUUAGGUUUAGUUUUGGAGGUAUCACUACAAGAAUCUAUUUAAUCAGUGACGAAAUUUGACGAAAUUUUCGUGAUGUUUUCAGAGAUCGUCACGGAUAUGCAACUAUGGAUACAAGGCCCAUAAUCCGUGACAGUUUAUCGAUUUCGUCAUAAACCGGCCCAAAACCUGUAACGUUAUAGCAAUUUCGUCGCGAUUUAAAUACUUCAAAACCAUAUAAGAGAUAUGCAAAUUUUGCAAAUUUUGUGAAGAAUGUUACUAUCACUUUAUCGGAUGAAGAAAUGACCAAAAUAAAAGUUAUAGAUAUUGAUGAGUUAUACAACUUUGAUGUUGAUGACUUUUUCAGGUGAAAUAAUUUAGUAUUUGAAAAUGUUGUUUGCAGUUGUCAUAAUUUGAAAUUCAAAUUCAAAUUAUUGAAACAGAGUCAUAUACCAAAAUGACCAAAACAAAAGUUGUAGAUAUUGAUGAUUUAUAUAACUUUGUUGUUGAUGACUUUUACUUGUAAAUGUUAUUUGAAAUUGUUAUAAUUUGAAAUUCAAAUUCAAAUUAUUGAAACAGAGUCAUAUAGCAAAAUGAAAAAAACAAAAGUUGUAGAUAUUGAUGAUUUAUAUAACUUUGUUGUUGAUGACUUUUUCAGUUGAAAUUAUUUAGUAUUUAAAAAUAUUAUUUGAAGUUGUCAUAAUUUGAAAUUCAAAUUUUAUAUAGUUCAAUCAAACUCGGAUGGAGAAAUGACCAAACGAAAAAUGGUAGACUAAAUGAUUUCUACAACUUUGUUUUUUAUAAUUUUUUCAUACGAGUUCAUUUAGUAUGACUUUUGUGUGUUACUUCACAAUGGUAUAAUAAAAAAAAGAAAAAAAAUGUUAAACAGAGAAGGAAUGAAAAAAAGGCCUGUUAUGGGCCAGUCCUUUUGCUCCUCCCAAGCCGAGAAGUCCAUUUUGCCUCCCUCCUUUCCAUUAAUUUUAAAAUAUUAAACCUUUGAAUCGAAUUUUAUCAUACUAAAUGAACUUAUGUGGAAAAGUUGUCAAAAACAAAGUUGUAUAACUUAUUGAGAUAAACCUAUUUUAUUUUGGUUAUUUCUCCAUAUGAGUUUGAUUUACCUAUAUAAAAUUUGAAUUUCAAAUUAUGACAACUUCAAAUAACAUUUUUAAAUACUAAAUGAUUUCAACUGAAAAGGUCAUCAACAACAAAGUUGUAUAACACAUCAAUAUCUACAACUUUUGUUUUGGCCAUUUUUCUAUAUGACUUUGUUUAAACAGUUUGAAUUUUAAUUUCAAAUUAUGACAACUUCAAACGAUAUUUUCAAAUACUAAAUGAUUUCAACUGAAAAAGUCAUCAACAUCAAAGUUGUAUAACUCAUCAAUAUCUAUAACUUUUAUUUUGGUUAUUUCUUCAUUUAGUAAAGGGAUAGUAACAUUGUUCACAAAAUUAACAUAUCUAUCUUAUAGUUUAUAAACUAUAUAAGACAUAUGUAUAUUUUGUGAAUAUUGUUAUAAAUCGUUUUGUCGGAUGAAGAAAUGACCCAAAUAAAAAUUAUAGAUCUUGAUAAGUUAUACAACUUUGAUGUUAAUGAACUUUUCAGUUAAAAUCAUUUAGUACUUGUAAAUGUUGUUUGAAGUUAUCAUAAUUUGAUAUUCAAAUUCAAAUGGAAAAGUCUACACUUACGAAACUUUUUGUUACGAAACAUGUACGAAGAGCACAUGCAACCUGUCUUUUCGGCUUGUAUGCUCUAUAAUCAUCUUGCAAGUACCUAAGCCCGUAACAAAUACAGGCCCACGUAUGGUGCAAACGAAAAAGCAAGAGUUAUAUCUCUACUUGUCUGUAAAACCGUGUGCUACGAAAAUCUAUACACAGGUUGCAUAUGAUUAAACUAUAAACAAGCAAAUCGUGUUCAAAUCAUAUUGAGGAAUUACUACUGCAUGCUCAUAUCACUAUCGACUACCACACAACUAAUAUAUAUUGUCCUUUGCAGCAUCGAAGUAAUCAGCUAGCAUAUCAAACAAAUACAUCGGUGCAUCAAUGUAUGAUUUAUUAUUGGCAAAUUUUGCUGCAGGACACUGCAAUUUCAUGGUUUUAGCUGUAGGACACUGCCCGAACUCAAUUUUAGGGAAAAACACUCCAUAAACAUGGUAAUUUGUCAAUAGACACCGUACCGAUUAAAAUAAUAUUUUCCGGUUAAAGAGGGGAGAGAAAUCACGUGAAAGUUCUAAAAUACCCUUGGGCCCACAUGUCAUAUCUUCCAUCUAUAGUUGGCCAUAUGGGCCGCCCGGCACGGCACGGCCCAGGCACGACCGGGCCUGGGCCGAGGUCAGUCGGGCCGGCACGGCCCGACGAACAAGCUGUGCCGUGCCGUGCCAGCCCACGGGCUACAACCACGGCCCAGGCACGGCCCAAGUAGCCUCGGGCCGUGCCGGGCUGGCCCGACGGCCCGGCAAGCCCAUCGUGCCCGUGCCGGCCCAGGCACGCCCUGGCAAAAAACCCCUUCAAAGGUUCAAUUCAACACAACAAAUUGACAUAACACAUCAAAUUCAUGAAAUUCACAUGUAAUUCAUCAAAUAAGUCAAAGAAUCACAAACAAUUCAUCAAGUCACCAGUUUAUCAAAUCAUGCAUACAUCAAGUCACAGAUUUACAAGCACAGAUUUACAAACAAAUGAACAAUUCUUCAAGUCACCAAUUCAUCAAGUCACAGUCUCACAGAUUUACAAUCAGUUCAAAUCAAUUCAUCAAAUGCAUACAUCAAGUCAUCUACUAUUUUCCAUCAAGUCCAUCUCAGAAUCACAAACCUUAGAAAGUUAGAAUAUAAAAGGGGUUUAUAUAAGCUGUGAUUGUGCAAUGGCUGCCUCAUUAAAAACCUUUCUAGGUAAAAACUCACACCUCGUGAGAAAACCCUAGAAAGGAAAAGAGUACAGCCCAUAGCUAAAAUGUUCAUAUCAAUUACAAUCAUCCAGUUCAAGGGUUUACAUCAAUUUCAUCAUCAAGAUACAUAUUCUCAUAAGCAUUUUGAAGCUCCACAUUCUCAGUAGUAUGCUGACUUUUUGCAUCUGCUAGCUCCCAGUCCUUGAUCACUGCCAGAAUUUCCACCAGCCUAGGGUUUAGACGCCGCCGACGGUCCUCGAUGAUCCUGCCAGUUAAGCUAAAAGUAGACUCGGACGAUAUAGUAGAAACAGGAACAGUCAUAACAUCUUUAGCUAAGAUUGAAAGAACAGGAUAAGUUAGUUUGUGCUGUUGCCACCAACUAAGGAUAUUGAAGUCAUCAUCAUAUUGGUUGACAGUGUCACUGUCAAGAUAUGCAGACAGUUCAGAAGAAUUGAGAUUAGCAGUUGAAGAAGCUGCCUGAAGCAAAGCAGUAGCAGAUGUCAUCCUGGAUAAUGAACCAACACCAAGCCCAGCACCUGGACUGGCACCAGCAUUACCAGCACCAAGCCCAGCACCUGGACUGGCACCAGCAUUACCAGCACCUGGACUGGCACCUGCAUUACCAGCACCAAGCCCAGCAGCAACAACAGAACCAAAAAUCUUCCCCCAUGCAGUCCUUUUCUUACCAGUGGAAGGGCCUGGAAUAGUGGAACUAUGCAAUCUAACAGAACCAAACUUUCUUUCAUACUUAGCAAAAGUAUCAAACAAUGAAGCUCUAACAGUUGUUAAAUAAGCAGAAUAAUCAUCACCAAUGAGUUGAGCCAUAAUCUGAAGCACUUUACUAAACCCCCUAAUCUUGGCCCUAGGGUCCAAGAUAAAUGCAAAUGAAUAAAGAAUUGGAAUUUUAGACCAAUAGUUCAUAAACUUAGUUUUCAUGGGACCAACAACAUUUGCGAUGUUUUGAACAUUGCCAUAUGUGUUUAGAUGUCCAGCAAUCUCUAAAAUGUGAUGCAUGAUUAAUGGAGAUGUUGGAUAAUAAACACCAGACAAAACAACAGUUGAAUCAUAAAAUUGUUCAAGGAAACACAAAACAGAUUCAGCACAUGUCCAAUGUAAGUCUGUGAGUAAUGGAUGGUCAUUAACAAAAGGAUGUUGUGUACUAAUAAAUACUGUGAAUGGUUCCCUAUGUGGUAUGAGAUGCUUAAGCAUUAGAUAAGUUGAAUUCCAUCUAACAUCCAUGUCCAAACCAAACAUACGAGGACGAUAACCCGCAGCAAUGCAAACAUUUUUAUAUGUAGCAAUGCGCUGAUUAGAUGCAUUCAAGAAUGAAAUGGCAGCUCUAAUGUCAUUUAGCAUGGGCUUGAACUUGUCAAGUCCAGCCUUAACAAUCAAAUUGAUGAUAUGACAUGCCCAGCGUUGAUGCAAAAAUAAAUCACCAAUAUAACCAGACAGAGCAGGAGUAAGGGUGAUCAUAGCUUUAGAAUUAGCAGAAGCAUUGUCUAAUGUAAUAGAGAAAACCUUAUCAGUAAUACCAUAUUCUUCAGCAACAGCAAUCACACGCUCAGCAAUAUUAGCACCAGUAUGUGACUCAUCAAUAAGCCUAAGACCCAAGACCCUCUUUUCUAAUUGCCAAUCAGAAUUAACAAAGUGAGCUACAACACUCAAAUAAUCUUCCUUAGCAUGACCAGACCAUAUAUCAGAUGUCAAAGCAAUAGAGCUAGCAGAAUUGAGACGAUCAAUAAUAACAGAACGACGAUCCUUAAACAACUUAUAAAAAUCUCUGGUAGUAGUUUGUCUAGAGACAGGAACAAAUCUAGGGUUAUGAGCAGCCUUAAUAUAGUUCACAAAAGCAGGAGAUUGACCAAAACUGAUUGGAAGAUCCUCUCUAGCAAUCAAUCUACACAAUUCAAACCUAGCAUCUUCAGGACUAUAUUCCCAUGGAAUAACAGAACCAUUUGCACUAAAUCUAAGCAUGGACUGAGGCAAAGCAUUAGACCCAAGCUUUCUAGGUUUGCAUGACUUAAUAUGCCUAAGCAAAUGUCCAGUGCCAGCAGAAGAACGAGCACUCAAAGUUUUAUGACAGUAAUUGCAUUUAGUAGAGACUCGAACCCUAUUACCAUUGGUCGUUUCAUAAAGUUCCUCAAAGUCAUCCCAUACCUUGGAGGUUUUGGUCUUCUUGUUGGUACAAGUCGCACUAGAGCCAGUCGACGUCCCAUUGCCACUGUCGUCGACCGGCGGGUCGUCGUCAUCGACAUUCACAUGGAUCGGGAUGUCGGAGGUAUUGCCGAACACCUCCACACGAUCCUCCUCCACAUCAUCAUCGUCAUCACCGCGCAUCCCCAUAGUCCUCAACUCGUAGUUGACAGAGGUAGGAUCGUCAUCCAUCGCAGGCACUCUGGUCCCUCAACGGCGGCUGCCGCUAAGCAACGGGCUUGUGACCUGCAAGCAGCCAACAACACUCAAGGUUAGGGUCGGAAAUGGAGAAAAAAAAAAUAAAAACAAUGGUUCCAUGCUUGUACCUGCGCAGCCGGAGCACCGGAGUUGCCGUUGAAGACGAUAGGCUCACGGAUCUACGAGAAGACCAAGGGAUCUGGCGAAGAAGAACAAACGGGAAAGAGACGAAGAGGAAGGCUGGAUUUGGAAGAGUGGAAGGACGAUGACUCAGGCGACCAUGCGUGGCCGGUGGCCCCCAUCCUCAUGCGCCCCUCAUGCGAGUCAGGCGAGGCAUCGAUCGGAGACGAAGAGGAAGGCUGGAUCUGGAAGAGUGGAAGGGAGGCGACUCGGUGAGUCUCACCGGUGCGCGCCUGAGGCCCUGAGCGAGUGAGCGGCGGACGGUGGAGGACGAGAUCUGGUGGGCGGUGGAGCGUCGGAGGCGGAUCGGCGGAGGCGGUUGAGCGGUGGCGGCUAGGGUUAGGGUUAGGCGGAGAGGCGGAGAGCGAGAGGCGAGAGGGGACUGGGGAGGGGAGGGGCGGCGACGCGGCGUUCGCUGGCUUAUAUAUGCGGGCGCACGCGGUGCGGCCUGGCUGUCUGUUGGGCUGGGCCGUGCUCGUGCCUACCGUUGGUACGGGCCGUGGUCGUGCCGACCGUUGGGCCGUGCCGUGCCGGGCCGGCCCAUCGUGCCGACCUCGGUCCGUGCCGUGCCGGGCCGGCCCACCGUGCCCAGCCAUAGGCCCAGGCACGGCCCAAUAGUCGUGCCGGGCCGGCACGGGCCCGACUGCUACCGGGCCGUGCCGUGCUUGGGCCGGGCCAUCGGGCCUCGGGCCAUAUGGCCAACUAUACUUCCAUCUCUCUAUCCUCACCUCCCACACUUCCAUGGCCGAUGCCGUGGCGGUGGCCGGGUCAGUGGAGAUGCCGGUGAAUCUGCUCCCGGCGCUCCACUCCGCGGACACUAGCGCUGCAGCAGCGUCCACUACGGCGCCCUGCAGCAGCGCGACGAGCAGCGGCAUCCGUGUGUCGUCGGCGAGCAGCGGUCCUCCAUGCCCAUCCUCCUCCGCCGCCAGCCCACCACCACACGUUGUCAGGCUGUCGUCAUCGCCGGCGCCGCGGCGGCGUUGAUGACGGCGCCCUGCAGCAGCGCGUAGUUGGCGAGUAGCGGCAGCCACGUGUCGUCGGCGAGCAGCGGUCCUCCAUGCACAUCCUCCUCCACCGCCACAACACGUCGUCAGGAGGCCAUCGUCGCCGGCGCUGCCGCAUAGUCGAUGACGGCGCCCUGCAGCAGCGCGUAGUCGGCGAGCAGCGGCAGCCGUGUGUCGUCGGCGAGCAGCGGUCCUCCAUGCUCAUCUUCCGUCUCCGCCGCCACGCGUCGUCAGGCGGCCGUCGUCGUUUACGAGCUGCCGGCGGCGGCGGCGGACGUGACGGUGUGCAAGGUGGAGGGCGGCCAGCUCAUGUUGCCGUCGACCUUCCCGUACUUCAUACUCGUCGCGCUGGAGGUCGGGGGACUCUUCCGCGGACUUCUGCUGCUGCUGCUGUACAGCCUCUACCCCGUGCUGCUCCUGCUCGGCCAUGGCCGGGCGACCAAGCUCAUGGUCAUGGUGAGCUUUGCCGACGUCAGGAAGGAGGAUGGGUCGUCGUCGUUCAGGGUGGGCAGCGCGGUGAUGCCCAAGCUGUUCCUGGAAGACGUCAGCGCUGAGGUCCUCGAUCGAGGCGGCGGCGCAGCGGGGAUAGAGAUAAGAGAUGGAAGAUAUGACAUAUGGGCCCAAGGGUAUUUUAGAACUUUCAUGCCAUUUCUCUCUCCUCUUCAACCAAAAAUUAUUAUUUUAAUCAGCACGAUGUCUAUUGCCAAAUUACCAUGUUUAUAGAGUGUUUUCCUCCAAAAGUGAGUUCGGGCAGUGUCCUACGGCUAAAACCACGAAAUUACAGUGUCCUGUAGACAAAAUUUGCCUUUAUUAUUAGUGUGGGCAUGGUAGAUCGUACCUAUUAUGCAGGAAGCAAAGCAAUACUGCUCGUAUUGUGGCCAGGGUUUACGAUUCCAACAAAGUCCGGUCGGAUUUCGCGAAAUUUCGACAUUCCGACGAGGCUCGAAAGUAGAAACCGUAUGAGAUUUCGAGGAGUUUCAUCCAAAUUCAAAUUUGAAUUGAUAAAAAAAAGAAAAAAACAAAUAAAAUCUUAUAAAUACUAUGAUAUUCAUAGAACAUAUUGGGAUAUAAAUAUUCUAAAAAAAAUGAUGUAUUGUGUGUAUUUACUAAAACUUACACCAGGAAAGAAAAGAAUAAAGAAUUAAAAAAAAGAAAACACUUACAUGGCCCGAAUUGCAUGUACUAGGCCCAGUUAGUAGUUGGUCCAAAUUACAGGUUACAGAUCGAAAUUUUGAUCAGAAUUUCGCUAAAACCGACAGGUUUUCGAGAACUUGUCAACAAACUCAGGGAAUUUGCAUUCAAAUUUUGGUUUAUGAAAUUUGUUCGGAAUUUACCGGUUUUCCACCGGAUUUCGCGAAAUUCCAAAUUCCGCCAGUGCCCGAAAUAGAAGGGCCUGUCGGAAUCGUAAACCCUGAUUGUGGCGGCAGCUGAGGCGGUAAGGCCUAGACAUAUAGCCGCCACCUAGCUCAUAUGCUUGAUUGAAUUGAUUUUUUUUAGAACUGAUUGAAUUUAUUCUAUCCUUGCUUUCUGCAUCUCCACUCAAACGAAGCUCUGAAGUCUGAAUGAGUAGCAUGAUAUUGAACCUGUCAAUUUGAUAUGGGCUUUUCUUAUUGAAUAAUCUAGAGUGUUGUAGGCCUGUGAUCUUGUGUGGGCUUCUAGUGUUCUAGCCAUGGAAAUCACGUAAGCAGGUAGUUUUCGUACGAAUUUCGUAUAGAUUUCUUCGUGUGUAUAGCAAGGUUCAAUUCAAAUUAUUGAAACAGAGUCAUAUAGCAAAAUGACCAAAACAAAAGUUGUAUAUAUUUAUUAUUUAUACAACUUUGUUGUUGAUGACUUUUUUAGUUAAAAUUAUUUAGUAUUUGAAAAUGUUGUUUGAAAUUUGUCAUAAUUUGAAAUUCAAAUUUUAUAUAGGUCAAUUAAACUCAGAUGGAGAAAUAACCAAAAUAAAAUUGGUAGAUCUCAAUAAGUUAUACAACUUUGUUUUUGACAAGUUUUUCACAUAUGUUCAUUUAGUAUGCUAAAAUUUCGAAGGUUUAAUAUUUUGAAUUUAAAUGAAAGGAGGAAGGUAAAAUGGACUUCUCGGCAAGGGAUGAGCAAAAGGGCUGGCCCGUAACAGGCCUUUUGCUCCUCCCUCGCCAAUAAGUCUAUUUUGUCUCCGUCCUUCAAUUAAUUUCAAAACAUUAAACCUUCGAAUCGAAUUUUAUCAUACUAAAUGAACUUAUGUAAAAAAGUUGUCAAAAACAAAGUUGUAUAACUUAUUGAGAUCUUCCUAUUUUAUUUUGGUUAUUUCUCCAUCUGAGUUUGAUUGACCUAUAUAAAAUUUGAAUUUUAAAUUAUGACAACUUUAAAUAACAUUUUUAAAUACUAAAUGAUUUUAACUAAAAAGGUCAUCAACAAAGUUGUAUAACUCACCAAUAUAUACAACUUUUGUUUUGGCCAUUUUUCUAUAUGACUUUGUUUAAAUAGUUUGAAUUUGAAUUUCAAAUUAUGACAGCUUCAAACAAUAUUUACAAGUACUAGAUGAUUUCAACUGAAAAAGUCAUCAACAACAAAGUUGUAGUACUCAUCAAUAUCUAUAACUUUUGUUUUGGCUAUUUUUCUAUACGACUUUGUUUAAACAGUUUAAAUUUGAAUUUCAAAUUAUGACAGCUUCAAACAACAUUUACAAGUACUAGAUGAUUUUAACUGAAAAAGUCAUCAACAACAAUGUUGUAUAACUCAUCAGGAUCUAUAACUUUUAUUUGGGUCAUUUCUUCAUUCGUCGAAGUGAUUUGUAACAUUGUUCACAAAAUGUACAUAUCUCUUAUACGUUUAUAAAAAAUAAGAGAGAUAUGUAGAUUUUGUGAACAAUGUUACAAAUUACUUCGUCGGAUGAAGAAAUGAUCAAAAUAAAAGUUAUAUAUAUUGAUGAGUUAUACAACUUUGUUAUUGAUGACUUUUUGAGUUGAAAUCAUUUAGUAUUUGUAAAUUUUGUUUGAAGUUGUCAUAAUUUGAAAUUCAAAUUCAAACCGUUGAAACAAAGUCAUAUAGAAAAAUGACCAAAAUAAAAGUUAUAGAUAUUGAUGAGUUAUACAAUUUUGUUGUUGAUGAACUUUUCAUUUGAGAUCAUUUAGUUUUUGAAAAUAUUGUUUGAAGUUGUCAUAAUUUGAAAUUCAAAUUUUAUAUAGGCCAAUGAAACUCAGAUGGAGAAAUAACCAAAAUAAAAUUGGUAGAUCUCAGUAAGUUAUACAACUUUGUUUCAAACAACUUUUUCACAUAAGUUCAUUUAUUAUGAUAAAAUUCGAUUUGAAGUUUCAAAAUUUUGAAAUUUCCACGUUAAAUGACCAUUUUGUCCAAGUAACUUGUAUAAUAGGUUUCCAGAUACCAGGGUUAUUCUGGUAAAAUCGCAUCAACAUAGCUUCUUAUACAUAUAUCCAAACCCUAGCCAUCCAUUCUUCACCUUCUCUUUCCCCACCCUCACACCGCCGCCUACCACGCCGUCGUCAUCGUCCUCCUCCCUUCGCCCACCAUCCACAGCCCCCUCGGAUCUCGCCGCCCCUUCCGCCUCCCCCUCCGCUCCUCUCGCCGCUCCUCCGUCCCCCCCCUCUUCGGCAAUCUCGCCGGCGUCCCAACUCUAGCGGGAGCGGCGGUGGCAGCAAGGAGGCGCGGCGGCAACGACCUGCGGCGGUGGAUUUGGCGGCGCCGUCCUAGGGAAGGCCGGAUCCGCCGCCCUAGGAAGGAGCUCGGCUCUCGGCGGCGGGCGGCGGGCACAGUGACAGCCUGCUCCGGCGGAUCUGGUGGCGCCGUCGCAGAGGCGGAGGACAGCGGCGCGCCAGAGACGGAGGGCCCGUCGGGCAGGCCGGCAGCGAGGCGGUGGCGGAGCCGCGGAGGCGGGCCGGCGUGGAUGGGGUCGGUGGAGGUGGCGGUGACCUGGUACGGCGGCGGAAGGGAGUCAAUGCGAGGGGGUUCAGGCAAGGGAGUCAAUGCGAGGGGGUUCAGGCGAGGCUGGCGGCGUGGCUCACACUGUGGCGGCUCCUCUCCUCCGGCGGCAAGGUGCUCGGCGAGGAGGAAAAGGCUGCCGAGAACAUCUACAUCAAGGUAUAUCCACCCUACUCGCUUCCCUAAUCUUCCUUCCCCCUCGUGAUUGUUGCUGUUCUUGCUGCGAUAGAUGGGCUACAGAUGCAACUAGAGAUGUAUUGCUUGAGCUCUUCAUAAUUCAUCAACACUUCAUGACUGUUGAAACUGAAUUGCAUCUAUACGUUAUAAGUACUACUCCUAACCUGUAGAAUUAUCAAUCUAUGGCAAUCAACCUCAAUGAAUUAUCAUCUGACCUGCAAGCAGAAUGAGAAACCAAUAUAAUAUCAUAUAGCUGUAAGACAUGAUCUUUUGAACAAGAGACUUGCAUUAUGUAGUGUUUUAUUUAUCCAUCACUUGAGCAGUUUUCACAAUUCCUAUAUAUCGAAUGGUAAACUCUACUUCAACGUACUUUCAGAAAAUAUGAAAUAUAUAAAUGUUAACAGUAAGAUGAAAUCAAAAGUACUAAUCUCCAAUAGUCCAUAUAUAUCUGGAUCAUAUCCACCUGAAAUAAAAGAUUACCACUUUUUUAUGUACUGCAAUUUGCAAUUAGCAAUUAAACAUGUGCAUGCUGCAAAAAUAUUCUACAAAAACAGGACUAGCCAUCUUUCCUUUUCCUUUUAACAAACAGUAAUAGCAAACUAUCAGUAAACAGAGAACAUCUACAUCAAGGUAUAUCCACCCUACUCGCUUCCCUAAUCUUCCUUCCCCCUCGUGAUUGUUGCUGUUCUUGCUGCGGUAGAUGGGCUACAGAUGCAACUAGAGAUGUAUUGGUGUGCUGUGUAGAGGUUUUGGAUGUGCUCCAAAUUGAAAUGAGGCUGUUUUUCCUGUGCGAAUUGCUGAGUUUGCUUCAACUUUCAUCCUUCCCAUGGUCACUUUUGGUGAGUUCCUAUGAGUCCUAUGGUCACCUUUUUUUAGAAAGUAAUAAGUGAAAUCCUAUUAUGAAUGUCAAAUCUGAUGACUCCUUUUAUCUUAUUCAUGUAAAAAGGAUUGGUUGCCACCAUAUGUGGUGCUCAGGAAUGUCAAAACUGUAGUGGCAUGUUUCUUCCUAACAUGUGAAGUGGUUUUUUUGGCUAUCUAGCAAACUUUUGGCUGUGCUUUCUCAUGUUAUACUAUGCUAAGCAGUUGCAUUGCAGUUUAAGAUGCCUCAGUUUAUACCCAAUUUUUGGAAAUUUGUGAGCAUGAUGUCAGUCUUUUCCUUUUAAAUUAAGGGAUAAUAGGAAGAAACCAGGGCUGGCAGUUCUUUUUGUUUACCAAUUUUUCCACUGUACAAGUGCAAAAGCAUUUCAAUAUCUUUUCAGAGUUCACGAAAGAACUGGGCUAUUUAUUUGGUAGCAGGAUCGGAAGUAGGGUUGUUUUUUUCACCUAUAACUGUUACUUUAGUAAGGAAAUUUGAGGGUGCCUCUCCCUCAUGCGUGAAAACCAUUAUUUCCACAGUGAAAAGGGGUAAAUAUAUAUAUAUUGUUUUGCCUGAUCUCUGAGCAUGCUUAGUUUCUUUGUUACAAAAUGCUGAACUGAGAUGAACUGAAAAUUUCAGAAAUGUGCGAAGUGCAGGUGGAGAUAACAUACAGAGGGAGACAGCUCCUCCCGAUCCUGACAUUGCAGCAUGUCCGUGACAUCAGUAACUGCAUGAAUAUUUUUUAUUCAUCUAUUAAGUGCUUGAACAGUAGAAGAAACUAGGAUGAUAUGGCAGUUAUUGAUGUUUUAUCUUGUGCAUAUGCAGUGCUGCUAAGCUCACUUGGAAGAUCUUGGUCAUGCGACAUCCGGUGAAAUUUUGGUUACUGUGAUUGUAUUUGGAUUGUGACUAGAUUUGGCUGUUAACUGUGUUGUAAAUUUUGUGUUGUAUUGGAUGUUUGUUGAGAUGUGUUGGUUUGAAUCUGAGAUUGUAUGAUAAAUUGGAUUGAAUUUGGUGGGCUCAAAUUUAAUGGGUCUGUUUAGUGGGCUUUGAUCUGAUAGUUGGUUGACAAAAUAGGCUAGUUCUGAAAUGGGCCUAUUUUAAAAUAGGCCAGUUAAAAAAAUUAAUGGGCUGUUUAAAAAUUAAUGGGCCGUCAAAAAAAUAACGGGCCGUAUAAAACAAUUGCUGAUGUCAGCUGCCACGUCAUCAGUGACACGUUAUCGCACAUGUGUCAAAACAACCACGUCAGCUGCCACGUCAUCAGUGACAUGUCAUCGCACACGUGUCCAAACGACCACGUCAACUGCCAUGUUAGCCGCCACAUGGCAACCAUCCAUGACGUUUAAUUUCGUCACAAAGGUUGGGCCUGGGCUGGACUACACGAGCCCAUAAGCAUUUUAUGACGGUUAAAAAACAUCAUAGAUUGUGCUGAUCUGUGACGAUUUCGGAGAAAACGUCAGCAAAUUUAAUCUUUGACGCUCAAUAGAUGACGAUAAGUAUAAUUGUCAUGGGAAAAUUCCUGUGACGAAUUUUCAGUGAUCCAUGACGAAUUUUUUCGUCAUAGAUUAAAUAAAUUCUUGUAGUUAUAUGAUAGGAUUCUGUUCGGUUUAGGGAUAAGUUGUUAGGGGUGGCAUGUACAUAGUAGACGGUUGCUGUUUGCAGUAUGGUCCCAUAUCAUUGUAUACAAGAGGCAAAAGUUGUUUGCAGGCAGUUUAAAUGGCUCCCAAUGGUUAAAUGACACGUGGUAAAAAUAUAGAGGUGAUAUAUCUACAAUGGCGAAAAUGCGGUCUUCAAAAGUUCUCUUGUGCUUUUACACCGUAAUUAGGCCGGUAUUAGAUAAAAGUUCUUAGAGGUAAAAGUUCUCCUUGUUAGAUAAAAAAUCAUGUGUGGCGGCACCUCUUUUUAAUCUUUUGAAUCCCAACAUUCUGAGGGUGUUAAGGCAAUAUAUGGAACCUACCACGUGGAUGGGGUCGUCCGCCGCGCUCUAGAGGUCUAUGCCUGUGUUUGCUGGGCAUGGUUGG
rnacentral:lncRNA from 1 species